UUUCUCUCUCCAACGGUCUGUUUUAUGUUGGAGACUUGUGGAAGCAGAGGUGAAGAAACUAUAAUUGAACUGGAUUUGCAUGGAGCAUUGUGAUUUUCAUUUCUGUCAAGUUUUUGCUUGAGAAAAACUUACACUCAAACUUAUAUGGAGAUGCUUUAUUUACCUAGCAGAGAAGCCCUAAGAAAAGUAAUAUUGUUAAGUGUCUUCGUGAGAUUAUGUCUUUCGGUAGUGUUGAAAGAGCUGCUGUUUCUAAUUUUGGUUCAUUUCUUGUUAUGGGAGAUUGGUUUAAGAUAUGGAAUAAAUGUAGUUCAUUUCAGGGUAAUAAUGUUGGCAAAGCUUUUUAAUAUUCCUUCACACAACCAUGGUUCCCUUUAUUCAGUCACCUUUAUUUUCUUGUGGCAGGCUACAUUAAGAUAUAUCAAGGUUGGAGACCAAAGUUGAGAGGCUAAAGUCCUUUUACAUGUAUUGGUGCUUUCUUGAUACACUCAAAUAUUUCUCUAUUAUUACUUGUUUUCUCCACUGAUAUGUAUCAUAAGACCUUUUACAUGUCUUCAUCAUGAUACUUAAAAUACAAAGCUCAACCUCUUUUUUGCCACUCCAUGGCAUGAGUAUCCUGGCCCAUUAGUCAUUUUUCUUGAAAACUUAAACCAGGUUAUGGAAGGCAUAUUUGAGAGUGUUUUUAGAAACUAGUUAACAAAAUUGAUUUUUAUUAAUAAAUGUUUUGUUCAAAGUGAUUUUCAUGGCAUAUUAAAGUUUGUUUGUGUGUAUACUUUUAAAAGUGAUUUUGUAACAUAAAAAGUAAUUUCCAAUGACUCGAAAACAUGUUUGGAACUUAACAGAGGUAGGAAAAAUUCAAAUGGAAAAAUAGACAUGGUAUGUUGGCUUGUCUGAUUCUUACUUGUUUUCUUUUAUUUAUUUUUUUGAAAAAAUUGAUGAGAUAUGAGAUUAGUUUGUUGUUGAUUGUUCUAUCAUUAUGGUUUUGAUCUUAACUAUCUUUUUCUCUCUCUCUUUGGUCUUUUGUGUUGCUUUUGAUUCUAUAUGUUCUUAAUUUUAAUGUCUUGGGUCUUUGUCGAUGGUGGAGAUUAGAGAUGCUUGUGUUCUUAAGAAGAUAAUGGAAGAAUUUUUUAUUUGUAUUAUGUGAGAUUGUUUUGAGUUUCAUUUUGCAUUUGUUGGAAUGGAAAGAAAAAUUACUCUGUUAUCCAUGCAUAGUUAAGUUUUAGCUAAGUGUCUUCGUGAGAUUAUGUCUUUCGGUAGUGUUGAAAGAGCUCCUGUUGUCUAAUUUUGGUUCAUUUCUUGUUAUGGGAGAUUGGUUUAAGAUAUGGAAUAAAUGUAGUUCAUUUCAGGGUAAUAAUGUUGCAAAGCUUUUUAAUAUUCCUUCACACAACCAUGGUUCCUUGUAUUCAGUCACCUUUAUUUUCUUGUGGCAGGCUACAUUAAGAUAUAUCAAGGUUGGAGACCAAAGUUGAGAGGCUAAAGUCGGUAGUACAAGUUAAAGAUAUGGAGAUUGCAACAGUUACACGAAUAGUACAAUCUCGAGACUUACCUAAAUUCUAUGAUUUCUCUCUAUUUAACAUUGAACAAGGAAGUUCUUUUCCACAGGAAGCCAAAGGUAAGGUUGCUUUUAAAGCUCAAAUUGACAAGCUACAGUAGGAAAAUGUUGAACUCCAGAGAAGGGUUAUUGGCAAUCAGGUUAUGGUAGUUGGAUGCUGUGAGAUAGAUACUAGUUUCUAUGUAAUAAUUUUAGUACUAAUGUUGUUUUCUGUUUGUGUGCAAAGCAAGUAGGAACUCAACAAAUACCUGAGGUGAAGAAGAAAGAAAAGGAGUACAUCAAAUUGUGUGUGAGAUACCUUUUAGUUAUUUUUCGGUUCUAGGCUCAAGUUGGACUCUGUUAGAGGUGUUUAUUAUUUACAGCUGAGAUAGGAGCUUUUGUAUGUCUAAACCAAGUCUUAAGGGAGAAAAAGAAAGAAUUCCUACCAAACCCUUCCACCAAGACCAUAGAUUCAGGUUAUAUAGGAGUUUUUGUAUGUCUAAACCAAGUCAAGUCUUAAUGGAGAAAAAGAAAGAAUCUAUAUCAGGAACGGAGAUAGUGAAUUUGCUACAAGUAUAUUUUAGUUAUUUAUCAAUAUUUUACCCAUAAUGGAUCAUUCCUUUCAUUUACUGGCUUUUGUAAUGUAUGAUAUGAACAGAAAGAGGGGUGACGACAUGGAACUUGGAAUGGCAAGAAAACUGAUAACGAUUUCUAUAAAAGGAUAGUAUGUUAAAACCUCUAUUUUAAAUGUUUGUGCAUGAGCAUGAUUUAGUGUUAAAUAAAAUAUUCUCAUAAUUGUCUCAUGGUUAGGUGGAUGCUUAUGAAGUUAAAAAUCAAGAAUUGACGUCAGAGAAUGCUUAUUUAAAGACAUUGACCAGUAAAUGCAGGUUUGCAACAAUUUUGUUAUUGUCUGUGUUUUAAGUUUACUAAAUUUUUAUCAAAUAAAUUUUGGAAGGGGUGGUGAGCAUGCAAUAAAACAAGUUUGUAGAAUGCAUCUAUUCCGUCUUAUUAAUUUUGUGAUAUUGAGGUUUUUUGCCAUUUUUUUAUUGAAUUAUUUUUGUGAAUUUUAAUUCUUGAAGUUCAUUGUUUUAUUGGUUUAUUUGAUAGACAAAAAACCCCCUAAAUUUGUAUCAGAUAUGGUUUUAGUAAUUUGUUUUCUUAAGAUUCAUCCCUUACAUUUUGUUUAGUUAAUUAUUCCUUGUUUGGUAUAAUUAAUUUUUUUUUGAAUUAUUUGUUUGUUUUUAUUUUUAUUUUUUUGUUUGAAAGAGCUUUUGUGAUCAAAUUUCUUUAACUUUGUUUGAUCGAUGAUGAAUGAAUGAGAAUAGAGGAAGGCCAUAGUAGUUCGCAAACUAAAUGAGAUGACAUGUUUAACACUAGUACUACUCAUGCAUUGUUGAUACUACAAACUGAAGAACAUUAGGUUUUCUUAUAAUGGACUUGAGAUAUGCGGCAUCUUUUGGAAACAUUACAUUUUUUUCAGUCAGUUAUGCAAGCAUGACUGGUAUUUUUGAAUCUCAUUAGUCUAUUCGUAGACAUUUGACCCUUCUGGAUGUUUAUAAUUGUAGUUUGUGUUUACUCCAUUUAUUCAUUUGAUUUUCAGAAUAUUUGUACAAGUUAUAUUUUAUUUCUUCCUUAUUAAACAUAAUUGAUUUUCUUUAUUGAACUUGGCCUACACAAGCCUGAGAUACUUAAGGGCAUACAUGAUAUGUCACGUUUCUACUUUUAAGGACAUCAAUGAUUAAUCAGCCAUAAUUAGGAAGAGCUUUAGAACUUAAAAUCCAGAACUCAAAUAAACAUAUAUCCUUCUACAAAGUUGUUGAAAAACGUCUUGUUAUUCAUACCUAAAAUUUUCAACUUCAGAUUCCAACGGAUGUACUCUACAGCCCUCUGGAAGUUCACAUUGUUCAGAACCACCUGUAUUCUGACCUUUCUUGCUUUCUACCGCCAAAACGCAACUCUCGUUACUCAAAUUAAAUCAAAAACCCCAACUUAGAAAAUAGACUCAAAAUGAAAACUUUUAAGACUAAUUUCACUCAAAACACUCGAGUGGAUUGUGAGAAACUUAAUACUAAAUUUGGCCUAUUUAUAGAGUUCAUUGCAUGAGUACAAGUUGACACCUCAUCCUUGCUUAAAUUCACCUUAAACCUUCUUAAGGAACCUCCUACUUACUUUACACCUUAAAAUGCAUGCUAACAAGGUUUUACACCUCACUAAAACCUUAAACCGCUUGCCCUUAUCAUGCCACAUAGUUGUCCAAAACGCAUAGUUAACUUCCAAGGUCAUCUCACCUAGUUUCUCGCCCAAACUACAUAACCCAACUUAGAAAAGUUAUAACUUAAAAUCCAUAACUCUUUUGACAAAACUUUCUUCUACAAAGUUUCUCUAAAUGUGGUUUCUUCCCUAAAAAAUUUUUCCUGAAAUUUUGAGGGAAGAAAACGCCAAACGAUGCAUUCUGUAGCGUUCUAUGAGUGUAGCUUGCUCAGAUUCACUCGCAAACUAACCCUCUUGCCUUCUUUUGUCCAAACGUCAACUUUCUCAUAUCCAAAACGUCCAGCAACCUUCUUCAAUAAACUAGACUCAAAUUUUGAAUUUUCAAGUCUAGAUUGAGUGUAAUUUUUCGAGUUGUGAGAAACUCCUUUCUGAAGUUAGCUAAAACACCUAACCUCUUUAAUCCUUCUUUCUUGCCAACCUUAAACACUCAAAACCCUUUCUAACCUCUAAAACCAUUUUGCCAAGUCAACCCAAUACGCCUAAAAAGUACUAUUCUUUGAUAUUGAACCAAAAACUUUCCUUCUUUCAAACCUCUUAAACUCUUUGAAAAAGACUACACUACCCAAGUUUGGGUCCUACAUAAAGAAAGAAGAAGAUAGACUCAAGAUAUAAAAAUAAGGAAGUUAAUCAUCUCGAAAGAAAAGAUAUAAGGAGAAUUUCAUUUUGAUGCCUCUUGAUCUUUAACUGAUCUUCGCUAUUCCUUUCUACCUCUUUCCCCUUUAUGUGGAAAGACCUGGUUGGAUAGCCAUAGGUCCAAGGUUUCUAGUCUUUUUACUAGUUUGGAAAAGCCAAUUAAUUCAGUUUAGUAGAGGUGUAAAACGGAGAUUGCUUGAGUUCGACGAAUGAAAGAGAGCUCGUACCCGCAGCUUUUCCUUGAUUCUGCACUCUUGUGGGUAAUAGGCUUUCCUUCCUUGUCGUAGGUUCCUUUUGUUGGGACUUUUUCCUUCCCUCCUUCUUACUUGUUCAUCAUACCAUAGUAAUAAGAAUUUCUUAGAAAUAAGCUACUUUCUCUCCUUCAACUACUGAUCAAUUAGAACCUCGCGUCUGCACGCACCUUGUUUUUAGGACUUUAGGAAAUGGAAGAAUGUUAGAUCGAAUAAUUUGACUUUAUGUACACUAAGACAAGUGAAUGGGUGUCUAUCUUGUAGCUUUUCUUGAUAUACAUGAAUAUAGGACAACCAUAGAGUAGAUGAGAUUAGGGGAAGAUUCUUGAGACCUCAACCUUUGCCGCGACUAUCAAUAUUCUUUGAACCUCUUUUCUUGCCUUUGUGUCGUUAGUUUGGGAAUCAGGAAGAAGCUAAGCAAGGCAUGAAGAAAUUAUUAACCAUUCUAGAUGUCAUUCAGGUUGGAUGCCAAAUACGAGAAAACCUUUCUGAAGAGUAUGAAUGUGAAAUUCUCAUAAGCAAUGAGAUAGCCACUAGCUUAACCACCAUGAGCCACACCCCGUGGGUCGAUCGUACCCCUUCAAUUCUUUUUCAACCUCAAAAAAUUGAGUGAAGCAUCAAAAUGAAAUUCUUUCACUUCGUUUUCAUCUAUUUUCUAGAGAGCUUUACAAAUAAGGUCUUCAACGCAGAACCUAAUUACAAACUGGUACAAUUGUCUUUCUGUAAGAAGGUAUCAUGUCCAUUUAUCACAAGAGAUCGACUUAGAAGUUCAAAUGCACUUAAAUAAUGAGAAGGAUCAUUAUGGGUAGUGCCAAGAGGCACAAUUCAAUAUGCGUGAGAAGCGCAUUUAAGAAAAAAGGUUUGAUUCAGUAAAAAGUUGGACAGUGUAUAAAAUUUCGUAAAAGAAAUUGUUUUUUAUAUUUAUUAUUAUUAUUAUUAAUAUUUUAAAGAAACUAAAUACACUAUAAGAAAUAAUAUUUAUACAAAACUUCAGAACCACAUAUGCAUAAUGCAUAUUACAACUCAUCUAAACUGCCAAGCAGCACUUAAAAAAUUCAUCAACAAUUGUAGUCAUGAUUCAAGAAUCUAAACACCUUGAACUCGGCUUUUAUAAAAUCAUUGUGGAGUUCUAAGGAAUAUGGCUGGGAUUAUGUGGCUUCUGUUGGAUCUUCUGGGGGAAUUCUUACCAAUGUGGACAACAGUAAAAUAUCUGUAACAGAGGUCAUUAAAAGACGCCUCUCUUUGUCAAAUCAAAUGCCUCACUUUGUGCAAAAAGGUUUGUUGGAUCACAAAUGUCUAUGGCCCUUGUGGUUGCAGAGAAAGGAAAUUGGUUUGGCCCGAAUUGUCUUCCUUGGCUGAUUGUUCGGUCGUGGCCUUGUGCAUAGGUGGGGAUUUUAAUAUCUACUGCGUUCCCGGGAAAGAUUUCCUUUUGGCAGAAGUACUAGAGAAUGUCAUUAUUCAAUAAGUUUAUUGACAUGGUUUCUCUCAUGGAAAUUCCAUUGCAAAAUGGAAGGUUCACUUGGUCUAGAGACGGUAAUUCUCGUUGAAGAUCAUUAUUAGACAGAUUCUUCAUAAAUCAGACGUGGGAUGUUUGUUUUGAAAAUUCUCGGGUUUCUCGAAAAGCACGCAUCUUCUCGGAUCACUUUCCUUUAUUCUUGGAGGCUAGUUCUUUUCUUUGGGGUCCCUCUCCUUUUCGGUUUUGUAACAGCUGGUUGGUGUCCAGUGAUUCUAAUCAGAUUAUUGUUGAAAUAGUGAGCAACUCUAACUUCCAGGGAUGGGCUGGUUUCAUUCUUCAUGAGCAGUUGAGAUCAGUUAAAUUGGCAGUAAAAGCUUGGAAUAUUGCUGCGCAAGCUAAGGUAAAAAAAAAACAGAGAAAUCCUUGAUGUCAAAAUUAGAAAAAUAUGAUUCUGUGGCUGAGUUGAUUGGAUUAAAUCAAGAAGAGUUGAAUUCUAGAGCUGCUUUGCAAGCGGAAUUACUUAGUAUUUAUCAAAACGAAGAGCGUAAUUUUAUUCAGAAGAGUAAACUCAAUUGGCUUUCUUUGGGUGAUGAGAAUACGAGCUUCUUCCACCGGUUUCUAAAUGCGAAAAAAAGAAGGAACCUCAUAACUGAAUUAAAAAAUGAUGAUGGGGUUGUCUCGACUUCAUUCCGCGACAUUGAAAGGCUUGUGCUGGAAUUUUUUGAGUCACUUUAUACCAGAAUUCCGGGGGACAGAUUCAUCCCUAUUAACAGUAAUUGGUCUUGUGUUUCCUCAAUUCAGAAUGAGGCUCUUGUUACCCAAUUUUCAGUGGAGGAGAUCUUUAAGGCAUUAAAGGCACUUGGCAACAAUAAAGCUCCGGGCCCGGAUGGCUUCACAGUGAAGUUCCUAAUCACCCAAUGGUCUAUUUUCAAGGAUAUCUUCAAAUCACUAAUGUAUGAUUUCCACAGAAAUGGAAGAUUAAAUGCUUGCAUCCAAGAAAACUUCAUUUGUUUAGUGCAGAAAAAAGAGAAUGUGACUCUAGUCAAGGAUUUCCGUCCAAUCAGCCUUACUACGUUAGCAUACAAGGUUGUUGCAAAGGUUUUAUCUGAACGUCUAAAACAAGUUAUGGAUGCAAUUAUAAGCCCCACUCAAAGCGCCUUUAUUGAAGGUAGGCAAAUUCUUAACCCAAUAUUAAUUGCUAACGAGGCCGUGGAAGAUUAUAGGGCAAAACGGAAAAAAGGAUGGAUUUUAAAACUUGACUUGGAAAAAGCCUUUGAUAGGGUGAAUUGGAACUUUUUAGAAAAAAUUUAUCUUUGAAAAAGUUUAGUUCCAAAUGGAUAUCAUGGAUAAUGGGCUGCCUAAAAAUCCAAAGUAUUCAGUCUUCAUCAAUGGUAAGCCUAGAGGCCGGAUAACAGCAUCUAGAGGUAUCCGUCAAGGGGACCCUCUCCCCCUUUUUAUUCCUCCUAGUAAGUGAGGUUUUAGGAGAAAUCAUAAACAAGCUUCAUAUUAACAGCCAGUUUGAAGGUUUCCUUGUUGGCAAAGACUUGAUCCACCUCCCUUUGCUUCAAUUUGUCGAUGAUACUCUUCUCUUUUAUUCCAGCUUCCGAUUAUAUAUUUAGGUCUCCUUUGAGAGGCUACCUCGACAAAAGUUUUUUGGCAACCAGUCAUUGAUCGAAUUCACAAGAAACUUGAAAGGUGGAAAAGAUAUAACAUCUCUAGAGCGGAAGACAAACCUUAUGCAACUCAGUUCUGGUUAGCCUUCCUACAUACUACCUACUUUAUUUUCUGUACCUGAAAAUGUGGCUGCCUCUUUGUUAAAGUGAGUUUUCGGAGUGAAGGAAAAGGUCUGCAAUACUCCUUGAAAGACAGGGGAAGCAGAAGAUUGGUGUUCUAUAUUCUGGUUUGCUUAUUAGUAUUUUGUUGUUGGAAUUUUGGAUUAGGAGGUUUUCUUUGUUUGAUGUUUGUGAAUUAUAUGUAACGUGACUCAUUUUCUGAGGUUCACGGUUUGCUUAUGUUGUAAGUUGUGUUUGAAUUGUCAAUAUAAUAGAAACACUACAUCAGUGUUCUAUCGUGAUGUCAUCCUUGGAAUGCAAUGGCUGCACACGUUGGGGUAACUGAAGUGGAUUGGCGGAAACUCACUUUAACUUUCAUACAAAAUGAAAAGAAUGUUGUUAUAAGGGGUGACCCGAGUUUGACAAAGACUAGAGUGAGUCUGUAACACAUGAUGGAGACAUGGACACCAUCUGAUUACGGUUUCUUGACAAAAUGUCGAGCUAUGGAGGGAGGAAUGACAUUUACCGAACUAUAUGGAAUUGAUGAUGUUCCUACAUUUCAAGAGUUACUACAGCAGACAAUUUUGGCUAUCCUAAAAAUCCAGCAACAAAGAAGUGGGAAGUGCUUGUUAGUUGGAAAGGAAUACCACCUCAUGAGGCUACAUGGGAGAAUUGUGAUGAUUUUACACAAAAGCUUCCUCAUUUCCCACCUUGAGAACAAGGUGUCUUUGGAGAGGGAGAGUAAUGAUAGACCACCAAUUGCAAUACAAUAUAGCAGAAGAAAGACAAGUGGAAUUGCACGUGCACAGGUGAUGGAAUUGGAGGAAGUGGAAACCACCUUAGUGGGGACAACAGUUAGUUACAGGGGGAGGUUAAAAGGGAGAGAUGGAAGGAAAGAUGGGGGUUGGUUAAUCAGUUUAUGGAAGUGGAGGGGCUGUAUUUUCUGGAGAGCAGAAUUACAGAAGUUGUUCAGUUACUUUAAUCUUAGAAAGUGUUUUCCAUUAUCGUAAACUACUUUUGAUGUUUGAAUGUUUUAUUUUGUACUUGGUUAUUGUCUGUAAUAGUACUUAUUUGUUCUGUGUUUUCAAGACUGGUUUGAGUAUUGUAUUCUGUAAUAGUUUGGUUGCUUAAUGAACAAAUAAGAACCAUUACUUGGUGUUCUAUCAGCUUCUCAAUCAAGCAUUAACAUCUCAAUAAGGUAUUAUACAUGCAAUCAAACAAUCACAACAUACAUACCAUUUACUCAAAACGACCUAAAACAUGCUCAAAACGUGUCUAAGUUUCACUUGAACUUUCAAAACGACCUAAAACAGCUUACGUGUAGGUUCGUAACUCAUAACCUACGAAAAAAGUUCAAACAUUGUGCAAAAAGCACUACAAGACCCAAAAUUGCAACCAAGUGUGUAAGUGCAACAAACUUAAUUCAAACCAACCUAAAACGUGCUCAAAACGUGUCUAGGUAUUACUUGAGUUUUCAAAACGACCUAGCAAAUCCUAAGUGUAAGUUCGUAACUCAUAAUCUACCAAAAAGGUUGAAAAAAGCAUUUCAAGACCAAAAAUGACAACCAAGUGCAACAAACUUAAUCUAACCUAAAAUGUAUUCAAAAUGUGUGCAAGUAUCACUUGAAUUUUCAAAACGACCAAGCAAUGCUUAAGUGUAAGUUUGUAACUCACAACCUACCAAAAUUUCAAAAAGUAUGAAAAAAGUACUUCAAGACCCAACAUGUCAAUCAAAUGUGUGUAAAACUUAGUUUCAAACCAACCUAAAACGAGUUCAAAACGUGUCUAAGUUUCACUUGAACUUUCAAAACGACCUAACAAAUAUUCAAUACAAGUUCAUAAGUCAUAACCUAGCAAAAAGUUCAAAAUUUUUGAAAAAGACACUCCAAAACCCAAAAUGUCAAGUGUGUAAGUGCAACGAACUUAGUUCUAUACAAACCUAACAAGUAUUGAAAACACGUAUAAGUUUUCAAACACCCUAACAACGCUUAAGUGUAAGUUUAUAACUCAUAACUUACCAAAAAUUUCAAAAAGUGUGAAAAAAAAUCUUUCAAGACUCAAAAUGGCAACCAUGGCUGUAUGUAAAACUAACUUAGUUUGUAACAACCUAAAAGGUGUUCAAAAAAUGUUUAAGUAUCACUCGAACUUUAAAAACGACCUAAUAAUGCUUUAGUGUUACUUCAUAACUCAUAACCUACCAAACAGUUCAAAAAAUGUAGAAAAAGCACUCCAAAAUUCAAAAUGGCAACCAAGUGUGUAAGUGCAACAAACUUAGUCUCAACUUUAAAAUUAGUGCGAGUUGGGAAAUGUAUUAACUCAAGCAUGAUGUACAAACUUGAAACGACUUACAUAUUUAUUCACCAUCACAUAAAAACAGUAAUUAAAUAUAGAUAACAUGUGUAAAUAAAGGGAGAAUCACCUUUCUAGCAGUAGCUUUAGAGUAAGACCAAACACCAUCCUCCUGCUUGUAAAUCUGCUCGAUUGUCUACUUUGUUCUACACUCGUCAUUUCACCGUCUCAGGCCAUCCAUUGAAUUGGCCACCCAGCCUUGGCAUACAAGAGUAUGUCUCAGCCUGUUAACAAAUACCACUAAAACUAAGCAAGACGAAGAAAAAAGUUUUCAAAAAAUUACCUAACUUUUAGGUCUUCAUGUGACCUUUAAGUACUUCUGUCUUCUCCUUCAACUCUUUGACAGAUUGCUGAAAUUAUGUGUUUCUACAAUGUUUACCAGAACAUGAAAGAUUCAUUACGAAAUAAAUUACCAUGAAUACAAACCAUGAAGAAAUAGUAAAAAUCAAUACAAAGAAAAAAGUUCACUUGAAAACGACCUAAAACAGUAUCACUUGAACAAAAUGUGUCUAAGUAUCACUUGAACUUUCAAAACGACCUAAAACAGCUUACGUGUACGUUCGUAACUCAUAACCUACGAAAAAAGUUCCAAUAGUGUGAAAAAAGCACUACAAGACCCAAAUGGCUACCAAUGUGUAAGUGUAACAAACUUAGUUCAAACCAACCUAAAACGUGCUCAAAACGUGUCUAGGUAUUACUUGAGUUUUCAAAACACCCGCAAAUCCUAAAUGUAGGUUCGUAACUCAUAAUCUACCAAAAAGGUUUGAAAAAAGCAUUUCAAGACCAAAAAAUGACAACAAGUGCAACAAACUCAAUCUAACCUAAAAUGUAUUCAAAACGUGUGUACGUAUCACUUCAACUUUGAAAACGACCAAACAAUACUUAAGUGUAAGUUUGUAACUCACAACCUACCAAAAUUUCAAAAAGUGUGAAAAAGGUACUUCAUGACCCAAAACGGCAACGAAGUAUGUAAGUGCAACGGACUUAGUUUCAAGCCAUCCUAAAAAGAGUGCAAAACGUGUCUCAGAUUUCAAAUCGACCAAACAAUACUCAAGCGUAAGUUCGUAACUCACAACCUAAAAAAAUUUCAAAAAUUGAAAAAAAGUACUUCAAGACCCAAACAUUUCAAUCAAAUGUGUAAGCAACAAACUUAGUUUCAAACCAACGCAAAAUGUGUUUAAAACGACCUAACAAUCCUUAAGUGUAAGUUCGUAACUCACAAGCUAACAAAAAGUUCAAAAUGCGUGAAAAAUGCACUUUGAGACCUAAAAUGGAACCAAGUAUGCAAGUGAAACAAACUUAGUCUUAAACAAAUCUAAAAAAAUUUCAAACCGUGUUUAAGUAUCACUUUAACUUUCAGAACGACCUAAGAAUGUUUAUUUGUAAGUUCGUCACUCAUAACAUACCAAAAAGUUUAAGAAGUAUGGAAAAAAGGAAACACUACAGGACCCAAAAUGGCAACCAAGUGCGCAAGUGCAACAAACUUAGUUCCAAACCAACCUAAAAAGUGGUCAAGGCGUGUCUAAGUAUCACUUGGACUUUCAAAACAACCUAACAAAGUUUAAGUGUAAGUUGGUAACCCAUAGCCUACCAAAAAGUUCAACAAGUGUGAAAAGGGCACUUCAAGACCGAAAAUGGCAACCAAUUGGAUAAGGUCAACAAACUUAGUUUCAAACCAACCUAAACCGAGUUAAAAACGUGUAUAAGUUUUACUUGAACUUUCAAAACGACCUAAAACAGCUUACGUGUAGAUUCCUAGCUCAUAACUUACGAAAAAAGUUCAAAUAGUGUGAAAAAAGCACUACAAGACCCAAAAUGGCAAACAAUUGUGUAAGUGCAACAAACUUAGUUCAAACCAACCUAAAACAUGCUCAAAACGUGUCUAGGUAUUACUUGAGUUUUCAAAACGACCUAGCAAAUCCUAAGUGUAAGUUCGUAACUCAUAAUCUACCAAAAAGGUUGAAAAAAAGCAUUUCAAGACCAAAAAUGACAACCAUGUGUGUAAGUGCAACAAACUCAAUCUAACUAAAACGAAUUCAAAACGUGUGUAAGUAUCACUUGAAUUUUCAAAACGACAAGAAUGCUUAAGUGUAAGUUGUAACUCACAACCUACCAAAAUUUCAAAAUGUGUGAAAAAAGUACUUCAAGACCCAAUGUCAAUCAAAUGUGUUUAAAACUUAGUUUCAAACCAACCUAAAACGAGUUCAAAACAUGUCUAAGUAUCACUUGAACUUUCAAAACGACCUAAAAAGCUUACGUGUAGGUUCGUAACUCAUAACCUAGCGAAAAAAGUUCAAAUAUUGUGAAAAAGCACUACAAGACCCAAAAUGGCAACCAAGUGUGUAAGUGCAACAAACUUAGUGCAAACCAACCUAAAACGUGUCCAUGUAUUACUUGAGAUUUCAAAACGCCCAAGCAAAUCCUAAGUGUAAGUUCGUAACUCAUAAUCUACCAAAAAGGUUGAAAAAGCAUUUCGAGACCAAAAAUGACAACCAAGUGUGUAAGUGCAACAAACUCAAUCUAACCUAAAAUGAAUUCAAAACGUGUGUAAGUAUCACUUGAAUUUUCAAACGACCAAGCAAUGCUUAAGUGUAAGUUUGAACUCACAACCUACCAAAAUUUCAAAAAGUGUGAAAAAAGUACUUCAAGACCCAACAUGUCAAUCAAAUGUGUUUAAAACUUAGUUUCAAACCAACCUAAAACGAGUUCAAAACGUGUCUAAGUAUCACUUGAACUUUCAAACGACCUAAAAAAGCUUACGUGUAGGUUCGUAACUCAUAACCUACGAAAAAGUUCAAAUAUUGUAAGAAAAGCACUACAAGACCAAAAUGGCAACCAAGUGUGUAAGUGCAACAAACUUAAUGCAAACCAACCUAAACGUGCUCAAAACGUGUCCAUGUAUUACUGAGAUUUCAAAACGCCCAAGCAAAUCCUAAGUGUAAGUUUGUAACUCAUAAUCUACCAAAAGGUUGAAAAAGCAUUUCGAGACCAAAAAUGACAACCAAGUGUGUAAGUGCAAUAAACUCAAUCUAACCUAAAAUGAAUUCAAAACUGUGUAAGUAUCACUUGAAUUUUCAAACGACAAGCAAUGCUUAAGUGUAAGUUUGUAACUCACAACCUACCAAAAUUUCAAAAAUGUGAAAAAGUACUUCAAGACCCAACAUGUCAAUCAAAUGUGUUUAAAACUUAGUUUCAAACCAACCUAAAACAAGUUCAAAACGUGUCUAAGUAUCACUUGAACUUUCAAAACGACCUAAAAAAGCUUACGUGUAGGUUCGUAACUCAUAACCUACGAAAAAAGUUCCAAUAGUGUGAAAAAGCACUACAAGACCCAAAAUGGCUACCAAGUGUGUAAGUGUAACAAACUUAGUUCAAACCAACCUAAAACGUGCUCAAAACGUGUCCAUGUAUUACUUGAGAUUUCAAAACGACCAAGCAAAUCUAAGUGUAAGUUCGUAACUCAUAAUCUACCAAAAAGGUUGAAAAAAGCAUUUCAAGACCAAAAAUGACAACCAAGUGCAACAAACUCAAUCUAACCUAAAAGUAUUCAAAACGUGUGUAAGUAUCACUUGAAUUUUCAAAACAACCAAGUAAUGCUUAAGUGUAAGUUUGUAACUCACAACCUACCAAAAUUUCAAAAGUGUGAAAAAGGUUCAAGACCCAAAACGGCAACGAAGUAUGUAAGUGCAAUGAACUUAGUUUCAAGUUAUCUUAAAAAGAGUUCAAAAUGUGUAUAAGCUUUCAAAUGGACCAAACAAUACUCGAGCGUAAGUUCGUAACUCACAACCUACCAAAAUUUCAAAAAGUGUGGAAAAAAGCACUUGGAGGCUCAAUGUGUCAAUCAAAUGUCUAAACAAACUUAGUUCCAAACAAACACAAAAUGUUGUUUUAAAUUAACUAACAAUGCUUAAGUGUAAGUUCGUAACUCACAAACUAACAAAAAGUUCAAAAUGAGUGAAAAUGCACUUUGAGACCUAAACUGACAACCAAUUAUGCAAGUGAAACAAACUUAGUCUUAAACAAACCUAAAAAAAUGUGUUUAAAACUACUCUAAAGCACACACAAACACUCUCCAUCUCACUCUCUAUCUGCCUUGUUUCCAAUUUAAUUCGGUAUUCAUUUGGGGUUAUUGUAGGUUCAUAUUUAGAAAUAGUCAUUCAUGUGGUGAUGCAAAAUCCCUUUUAUGUAUCUAAUACUAAAAUCACAAAAAUCAUCUUGGACAUGCAACACAACAAACUAAAUUUCCACGGAAGCCUUUGCUGACACAAUGGUAGACAAAAUUACUCAAACAAGAGAGAAGGACUAUAAUUAAUUAACAGAAGUACAAAUCAAUAUAGGUGCACAACCUAUAUAUGAAAAUUAUUUUACAUAUUAUAUUAAACAUUGAAAAUUCUUUUACGUAUUUUUUUUUUUUUACGUAUUCCUAUUGAAGAAUCUCAUUUGAGCAUUUUGUGGUCAAUUUGACUUGACAGAAACAACAGAACUUUCAAUUAGAAGGAAGCAAGAUGCGCAGUUUUUUUGAACUGCUGUUUUUUUUUUUUGCUUCAACUUGCUAUAAAUUAGAGAUGUUUUCCACAACUACUUCGGCUUGGAGCCCUCUCGCUACUCCUUAUGUAAUUUUAAGAAAUAGAUAAAAUCCAAGUUAAACUAGAUAAGUGGAAAAGAUAUCUUUUUUUUCUCUCUCCCUCUUUACCGGCUGCCAUGCUGGGUGAAGAACUCUAAGCACCUACUAGGCAAGAAUGGGUUUUGCUUAGGCAAGAAAAGCGGAGAGGAUCCCCACGAAAACUCUGAAACCGGGGGAUCUCGGCGCGCAUUUUACUUGACCUACGCGGCUGGCUUGGCUCCCUCUUUUUUUCUCUCUCCCUCUCUACGGCUGCCAUGCUGGGUGAAGAACUCUAAGCAUCUACUAGGCAGGAUCAGGUUUUGCUUAGGCAAGAAAAGCGGAGAGGAUCCCCACGAAAACUCUGAAACCGGGGGAUCUUGGCGCGUAUUUUACUUGACCUAAGCGGCUGGCUUGGCUCCCUCUUUUUUUCUCUCUCCCUCUCUAAAGACUACCACGCUGGGUGAAGAACUCUAAGCACCUACUAGGCGGGAUCGGGAUUUGCUUAGGCAAGAAAAGCGGAGAGGAUCCCUACGAAAACUCUGAAACCUGGGGAUCUCGCGCGCAUUUUACAUGACCUAAGCGGCUGGCUUGGCUCACUCUUUUUUUGCUCUCUACCUCUCUACAAGCUGCCAUGCUGGGUGAAGAACUCUAAGGACCUACUAGGCGGGGUCAGGUUUUGCUUAGGCAAGAAAAGCGGAGAGGAUCCCCACGAAAACUCUGAAACCGGGGGAUCUCGGCGCGCAUUUUACUUGACCUAAGCGGCUGGCUUGGGUCCCUCUUUUUUUUCUCUCUCCCUCUCUAUCGGCUGCCAUGCUGGGGAACUCUAGUGACCCACUAGGCGGGGGUCGGGUUUUGCAACCCUCAGCAGCUUGGUCGUAUUCUUUUGUUUUUAUCGGCUGUUAUGUUGGGUGAAGAACUCUAAGAACUUGCCAACUUUGCUUAAUCAUAUUUUGCUUUCAAACAAUCUUAUACAAAUGUGUAUGACCAAAAGAGGGAUUUGAAAUUAAUAUAAAAAAUGCAUUAGAAUAUGGCAAAAAAGGGGAUUAAAAUUGAGAUAAAAAAGACAACCGCACAUAUUAUUAUGUACAUAAUUCACAAUAUUCAGAAAAUGAACCAAGUGUUCUACUCAUUUCUAAGCUAUCAAUAUAUGCAUUUUCAACAUAUGUAACAUAUUCAAAUAAAAAAUACAAUCACAAAUCCGAGCUCCGUUCUCAUGCGUUAGGCAUACAUGCUUUUUUAUGCUAAAAAGCGAACUAGACAUGGUACUUAUUCUAAGCAUAGAGCAUUGCAAAAGUUUCUAAAUUUUGACAUUUUUAGCAAAAUUUGCAAAAUGAAAAUUUCCCAAAGGACAUGGAAUGUGCAAGGCUACAACCCACCCCCCACUUAAAAAUUUGCAUUGUCCUCAAAGCAUUUUAAGCAAGAUUCUACGGAUGGAAAAAAAAAAGAAAAAAGGAGAACAGAAGACCUCCCCUUGUAACCUAGUUUCUUCAUGGAAGCUUGCUUGCAAAGAUCCCAAGUUUGGUUAUAUUUCAUUUUCCUUUAUUCUACAAAAAGAAACAAGAAUUUGCAUCCGAUUUUAUUUAAAAGGUUAAACUAAAAAUUUUAGAAAAAUGUGCAGAAUUGUUUAAAGCUCGGUUGCAUUUUCUAAGCAUCACUUGAAUUAUUAAAACGACCUAACAAAUAUUCAAUACAAGUUUGUAAUUCAUAACCUACCAAACCUUUUGUAAAUUACAUACAUCAAUAAAAUUACUUCUUAUAGGGGGGGGAAGAAACUAUGUUUUAGGGACAGAUGGCUCUAAAGCACACAAACACUCUCCAUCUCACUCUCUAUCUACCCUGUAUCUAAUUUAAUCCAGCAUUCAUUUGGGGCAUUGUAGGUUCAUAUUAAAAAAUAGUCAUUCAUGUUGUGAUGCAAAGGCCCUUUUUAUGUAUCUAGAACUAAAAUCACGAAAAUCAUCGUGGACAUGCAGCACAACAAACUGAAUAUCCAUGGGAAGCCUUUGCUAACAAAAUGGUUGACAAUAAUUACUCAGACAAGAGAGAAUGACUAUAAUUAAUUAACAGAAGUACAAAUCAAUAUAGGUGCACAACCACCAAGCCCCCAACAAAAGGAACAAUAAACUUCAAUAACAAAAGAAAGGUAGUAUCAGGACUAUCCUUACCUUGUUAUCGAAGAAGAUACCUUGGCUCUGGAAAGCCCGAUGCUCUGCCUUACAACAUUCAAUUACCCCAGUACUGUAGUGUUUCUUCAAAGUUUGGGAAUCUACCUAAAACAUAAAAAUAUAUAUUACAACUUGAAAACCUCCAUGUCAGAAACUUUACUUUAAUUAUCAAACCAGAUGCUAUGCAAGAAUUAGUUAGCAGAAACACAACAUAAAUAGUAAUGAUAUUCUUUGGGGAGGGGAUAAAAGCAUCUUUCAUCAUAGAAAUAAGCUUAGCAGUUAGCAACCUUUAUAUAAGAAGUUAACACCGGUUUGAUUACUUCUUAAAGUUCAGCUACGAAAUCUGGUAAAGAGAAAGACCUAAUCCAUAAUGUUAAAGACGAAAAGACCAAGUCAGAUUCCUUUAUUCAAACAGGUUAGUAUCACAGCUCCAAAGGAAAAAACUUACGGACCUCUACGACGAAUUUCCUUGAAUGAUGUAGCGGCACCUUGUUCUUGAAACACAGUUUCAUUUAUGUUGUGAAAAAUAAGAUCGAUAAAUAAAACUUUCGGCUACAAUUAGCCACAUAAACAUAAAGUUGUGACAUGAAAACAAAAGCUAACAGAUAAUUAACUAUACAGUUUGUAGGGAAAAUACCAAAUAGCCCAUAAUCAAGAUCACAACUGAAGCAAACAAUAAUGUGUAGUUUAUCAUUUCCAACCAAAUAGUUCAAUAACAAAUAAGGUCAAAUGGCCAAAUAAUAUGUCCUUUCACAUAAAUAUUUACUCCUGAAUUUUUUGAAGGAUAAUGUUAUCGCUUCUCUCCGACGUUUCACAAAAAUUCUUUUACAUAUUAUAUUUUUGUUACAUAUUCCUAUUGAAGAAUCUCAUUUGAGCAUUUUGUGGUCAAUUUGACUUGAAAGAAACGGCAGAACUUUCAAUAAAAAAGAAGCAAGAUGCCCAGUUUUUUUGAACUGCUGUUUUUCUCUCUUUUUUUUUUUCUUUAACUUGCUGUAAAUUGGAGAUGUUUUCCAUAACUACUUUGGCUUAUGUAAUUUAUCUUCUCCCUAGAUGCAACCAUAAAUCAAACAAACUAGAUGAAUAAAUUUACACCACAGAAAUCCAUCCUAUGAAGACUUGAGCGGAGAAAGAUGGGAUAAGGACAAAGCAUAGGAAAAGCAAAUACCCGAUGGGAAGUAAACUGAUAAAAAAUACUUUGUGUUGAGAGUAAUAUAUCCCGAACCAAUUUUCUGCCAGCCAUUAAGAUUUACCCACUGCAACUCUGACACAAAUAUUUUCUUAUAAACAAUAAUUAACACAAUCUAAUUGGUAUCUUAUGGAUAUAAAAGACAGCAUGGAUCCAUAUUGGAAGGAUUUCAAAUUAGUCUACGAACAAAGAAUUUUGAAGGAUUUGUGAUCAACUAAGGAGCUCUCGACUUUCUCCGCUGGAAUUUCAAAUUAGGCAGGCAUGAUUGUCACUCGAUCGACAGUUGAGAAAUCUGGCGCUGUUAGGGCGAUUUUGAGGAAGACGAAGAAGAUAAGAGAAUGGGAGAGGACGAGAAAGUAGAGAGAGAGAGAGAGUCGUUAGAGAAGAAGUAGGGGAAGAAAUUUGAAACGUGAGUGAGAGAGAAGGGGAGAUGAGGGAUUAAAAUAUAUUUGAAUUAUUUGUGAUAAAACCCAUUUAAAACCCAAAAAAAUUUCUUUAUAACUAAAACAAAUAUUUUGUUUUUAAAAUUUAGACUAAAAAAAUCAAAUUUUACGAGAUAAAAUUUUCAGUAACGAUAAAGCAAAAAAUAUAUAUUUUGUUUUUCAAAUAAUUAUAAUCCAAAAUUUUCAAGAAAUGUGAAAUUUCAUUUAAUAAGAUAAAAACAUUAGUUUCCAAUUUUGGCAAUGGAUGAAAGUAUUAGAAAUUGAAAAUAAUUGUUAGACAUGCAUGUUAGCCGUCACCACAAACCAAUCCAAUUUUUCAUUCAAAAAUGUUGAAUUUAUAAUUAAUGGUUCUCGAAACAUUCAUACAAUUUUUUUUUUAACUUAACUUACUUAGUUUGAGUUUUCUUACGAUGUUCAUGUCGAUAUUAUACGAAAAAUUGUCUUAAAUGAUAAAAUUGCUGAAGAUAUUCACAAAUAUAACAAAGUUUUACCGUCUGUUAGUUACUGAUAGAACAUGUACUAGUGGUCUAUCAAUUAUCCUCUAUGGUUUUAGUUUAGUGGUUAUUUAUCAAGCUCUUAAUAAAUUAAAUAGUGAUUUAACAAAUAUAAUGUAAAAGAAUAUUCCAAGAAUAACCUUGGAGUAUCACUUGAAUUUUCAAAACGACCUAACAAUGCUAAACUAUAAGCUCAUAACUCAUAACCUAUCAAAAAAAGUACAGAUAAAACAAAAAAACUAUUUAAAUCUUAAAAAAUGAAAAGAGAAGAAAUAAAUUUUAAAGUAUAUGUAAAUUUUAGAUAUUAAGUAAAAAAGAGAAUAUGUAAGUUGAAUUUUAAUCGGUAAGAAUAUGGAUGUUUAGAAACAAAUUUUUAAUUUUUUAAAAGUUGAUUUAUAAUCAUUUGAUUUCUUUAAAUUCAACAACAUAAACAUAAAAUGAUUUGAUUUUGAAUUUAUCACACCUUACAAAUAUUUUUCAAAUUUCAAAUCAAGAGAUACUAAGUUUGUUGACUUACCCACUUGAUUGCCAUUUUGGGACUUGUUUAAGACUAAGUUUGUUUCACUUGCAUACUUGGUUGUCAUUUUAGGUCUCAAAGUGCAUUUUUCACGCAUUUUGAACUUUUUUUUUAAUGGGCUUUAUAAAAAAUAAUUCAAAUGGAAUUGGCAGAUGGCUGAGGGCCUUCGUGAAACGUGGGAGAGAAGCGAUAAGAAUAUGUAUGUCUUAAUGGUCAUAGAAAUUUAUUAUGCUUGGUUUUUGCUUGAAAAGUUUUCUAUUAUUUACUUUAUUGAACACACACGAGCACCCGUACAUCUGGAUUUGUAAGAAUAUGUAUCGUUAUAAGGUUUCCAUCCAUCUUUCUUAUGCCAUCGAUGAAGUUUUCGCUUAGAUCUUUAUCUUAGUUCGGCCUCUUUAAAAUAUAUGUUACUCCAUACAAGGAAGAUCGAAAGUUGUGAUUACCAAGUGUAGAUUUGUAUUGUAUAGUUGCCUUAGUUAUUUUUUUAAUUAUUCUUUUUAGACGUUAUUUUCUUUUAUAAUUAGUUCUCUUUAGUUAGAAUUUCUAUUAAAUUAUACUUACCUAUUAUCAAAUCCUUUUUCCGUAAUAAGAGAAAAUGGAGUUUUUCUCAAAUAACAAAAAGUGAUUAUUUAAGAUAGUAUGCUAAAGGGAACACAUCCAACUACCAUGUUCAGAAUAUUACCUUUGCCGAUUGAAAGUCUUGGAUUCUUGGUCAACUUUGAACGCAAAUUUUUCUUAGUUGAUUAAUAAAUAUCAGGGUAAAAAGAUCUUAUAUUGUAAUAUUGUUUUGCUUCACUUGCAUCAUACACUAUUUUUUUACACUUAUAAUAAAAAGCCCAUAGAAAGUAGAGAACUUGUGUAGAGAACUCUUCACUCUUGCCUGAAGCUACAAUAGCCCGUAGAAAGUAGGAGAGUUAAGCUUGUUAGGUUAGAAUGCGUUGGGUUCACUUGGGAUCAAAACUUGCAUCAGAACUUUUCACUCACGGUCGAAGCCACAAUAGCUAGUAGAAAGUAGGAGAGUUAAGCCUAUUAAGUCAUAAUGCAUCGGGUUCCUUCAGGAUCAAACUUUGGUAGGAAACUCUUCACUCUCGACCGAAGCCACAAUAACACGUAAAAAGUAGGAAAGAUAAGGUGGUUAGGUCGGAAUGCAUCGGUUCCUUCCAUAUUAGUAUUUGCGUAGGGAACUCUUCACUCUUGGCGAAAACAACAAUUUUCUGUAGAAAGUAGGUGAGUUGAAGCGAUUAGAUCAGAAUGCGAUGGGUUCCUUCGGGAUCAAUACUUGCGUAGGGAACUUUUAACUCUUGGCGGAAGCAAAAAUAGCCCGUAAAAGUCGAAGAGUUAAGCCAAUUAGGUUAGAAUGCGUCGAGUUCCUUCGGGAUUAAAAUUUUCGUAGGGAACUCUUCACUCUUGGCCGAAGCAGAAAAGUUAAGCCAGUUGGGUCAAAUGCGCUUGGUUCUUUAAUAUAUUACAUGUUUGUACCUUUUCAAUUCAAUACUAGAUAUUUUUCACUUGUCAAUGUGUUAUUAGUAGUUUAAUUUAGCGAUAAGUUAUUGAUAAGAAGUUUAGUUUAUAAUUCUCGUCGCAUUAGUUAGGCUAUGCUCAUCGCUUAGCCAACGUCAAUCGCCAACUACUCGAGAGGGCAAGUAGCAAGGAUAAGGCUAAUACGUGCAAGGGGGAGUUUCGCGACAAACUCCACCUUAGUGAGAUAACUUCCAUCAUUUGUAUACCAAGAGAUGAACAAGUGUGGACAUUAGGCACCGAGAGGUUGUUGUCCUUAAUUGCGAAGCUCUAUACGUUUUAUAAGUGAAAUCUUCUAGAUAUAUCUCUCCUAAGCACACUUAAUCAUAUGGAUUCUGAGAGGUGACCAUAUGUGACGUUUAAUGACUCUGAGAGGAGCACUUCUUAAUUAUAAGUUAGUUGAGCGAGAUAUAUCCUAUUAAAGUUGUCGUGUUACUUAAUCGCAUUAUAACGCAAAGACAUUCCUUUGCUCUUUCUUGCAUACAAGUUAGUUCCCAUUUCUAUUUUGUCAUCCAUAUUCCCUUUUAUAGAAUCUCUAAGCGUAGAUAUCUAGUGGUAGUUUGUUCUUGUAUUUCUUUUAUACCAUUCGUUAUUCUUUAAUUCUUUUAUACUGCCUAGAUGAUAAGUAAUACCUAAAAUUAAUAUCUUGAAUCAAUUCCUUAUGUUCGACCCGGGAUCACCCCGGUAAACCUACCAUUUCACUUGCACUUGGACAAGUAGUAAGAAAACUUGUACUCAAGAGGACUUAGUUGCCACACGAUAUGAAGGUCUAGUGAGCAAUUCACAUGCAGUUAACAUGCUUAGUGAUAUAUCGCCUAGAUUGAGUAUAAUUUUCAUUACCAUUUACUAACACUAAGUCCUGAUUGUUGAGAAAGAACAACACCUCAAUAACCGGAGCGAUCGACUUCUAUCUUUAGUUAUUCGAUCUUGAACCUUAAUUGCACGAGAGAUGGCCUGGGAUGAAACAAAUUUACCUUUAUUUUAUUCAGUCUCGAGCAUACAUUGUCCUAAGAUGCUACAUUAUGAAAGACUUCUGCCUUUAGUUAUUCGAUCUCAGGCCUUAAUUGCACUUGAAAUGGCUCGGGAUGAAAGAAUUCUGUCUUUAUUUUAUUUAAUCUUGGGCAUACAUUACAUUGAGAUGCUCCGAAAUGAAAUUUUUUUGCCUUUAGUUAUUCGAUCUCGACCUUAAUUGCAUCGAGAUGACCCGUUAUUAAUAAAUCACAAAGAAGAUAUAAAUCGCAAGAACGUCUAUGGAAUUUGUGAAAAAAUAAUCUCGCAUCAUGGACUUUUCUUAUUUUGUUAUACGAACCAUAAAUAUUUUGGAUUUUUCUACAUUUAUGUAAAUUACUCUUAAAUUAAUCUAAUUAAUAUUUAAUUGGAAAUCACUGCCACUUGGAUAUAGGAAUACGGAGCAUCCCACAUUCUCUAAAUAACACCCACAUAUGGAAGUUAUUAUCUUAAUUUAAAUUAAUGAUCACAAAUAGCAAAAAAGUUAAAACUAUUUACAAAAUAUAGCUAAAAAUUGAAACUAUUUACAAAAAACUCAAAUGUGCUAUAGAGAAUUUAAUUAUUAUGCUAAUUAGUUUCAAUUUAAUUAGUAUAUUUGAAAAUUCCACUUAAAUUUGAUUAACACUAAAAUAAUUAGUUAAUAUAUAAUAAUUAUUUAAAUCACAUUUAAUUAAUAUUUCAUUUAAAUCACUUUUAAAUGAAUAUCUCUCACAUAACCAAUAGUUUUAAUUUAAUUAAAUAGAAUUAAACUAAAUUAUUAAUUAAUUCUUCAAUUAUUUAAUUUCUAAAUUAAAUAUUUUAUAUUUGAUUUAAUAUAGAUUUGAAUCAUACUCAUAUAUGAAUUUCUCUCAUAACCUAUUGUUUGAAUUUGUAUCAUAUACGUAUUAAAUUUUAAUCUAUAGUUUUAUUAAAUUUAAUUCAUAUUAAAUUAAUAUUUGAACUCAUUCAAAUAUUUAUUAUUUCAUAAAUUAAUUUUAAAUCAUAUACAAAAUUAAAUUUAUAUAAUAAAGUUCAAUUAAAAGAUAAAUUUUAUAUUAUAAUAUAUCACCAUACAUUAUACUAAUUUUCAAAGUAAAUAUGAACAUUUCAAAUUACAGUCAAUAUGUAAUAACCUUAAUACCCUUUACAUACUAGGAAGGGACCUAAUAAAUUUACAUUUCAAAGUGAAAUCAAUUUAUUUACUUUAGUUGUCGUAUUAUCCUUAAGAGCACCUCAUGCCUCCACAUCAAUAAUCAUUUAUCUCAUUGCAACAAUCACCCAUAUAAAUAUUGAAUCAACAUAUGGUUCUGUACCUAAUGAUGAAAAACUUGGCACUGAGCCAAGUAUCUCCCCAAUAAUCGUAAAGUGAUUCAUCCUUUCCUUGUGUGAUGCCAUAGAUUUUCUUCCUCACACUAGUAGCAUAAAAGGUUGAAAGAACUUUUCCAAAUAUUGUCUCUACAUCUACUCCCAUGAAAUAAUGCUCCUGGUGACAAGUAAUAGAGCUAAUCUUUCACUUCUUCGUGUUACGAGAAGGGAAAAGCUCUCAUGUUCGUCUGCUCAAGGGUUAUAAUGUGAGGACUCAUUCCAUUGCAAACAAUAUGGGGCUCGGCUAUCGGAAUAAUAUGGGCUCAACUAACGAGAUAUAACGACUGAACCCUAAGUGGAAGUCCAUAAGUUCACUUUAGCAGUUAGCUAAAUGAAAAUCUACUUAUAAUAUGGAGCAAGCACUAGAAGAAAUUGCUCUUUAUUGUCAGUUUAGAACCGACAUUAAUGGCCUUUGGUGUCAGUUCGGAAUUGACAUCUAUGCUAGCGUUAUUAAAGGCCUUUAAUGUCAUUUUUGCUUUGAUGUCAGUUUAAAAUGACAUCAAUGCAUCAUUGAUGGCCACUGAUGUCGGUUUUAAAUCAACAUUUUUUAUGGCGUAAUUGUUGACCUUUACUGUUGGUUUUCCUUUAAUGUCGUUUUUAAACCGACAUCAAACCCUUUAUUUUUUUAAUUUAUUUAUUUUAAUUAUUUUUCAUGGUGUCGAAAUCGACAUUAUUUGUUACGAAUUACGACAUGAAAUGUCGUCAUCGAAUAUUAAAAAAGUAUAAAAAAUAAUUGUUGCAUGAUUGCUAACUGUCUACCACUCCAUGGCAAACCUUAUAUAUUACUUCCAUAUUUCACCUGCAAGGCAGAAGAUCAACACCUACAAAACAAGCAUACACUUCCACACAUCCAAUGGCAAACUAAUACUAUUUCUAGCUAUAUAGAAUUCAAACCUACAAAACCAGCACAUACACUUCCACACUUCGAUGCAAACUAAUAUUUCUAGCUACAGAAUUCAACACCUAAAAACCCAACAUAUAUACAUUUUUCCACACUUCCAUAGCAAACCAAUAUUUCCAUUUCACCUACAAGGAAGAAGAUCAACACCUACAAAACAAGCAUACAUUUCCACACAUCCAAUGGCAAACUAAUACUAUUUCUAGCUAUAGAAUUCAACAUGUAAGAAAACCUACAAAACCAACACAUACAUUUCCACACUUCCAUGGCAAACCAAUAUUUCCAUUUCACCUACAAGAAGAUCAACCCCUAAAAAACCAGCAUACACUUCCACACAUCCAAUGGCAAACUAAUACUAUUUUAGCUAUAGAAUUCAACAUGGUAAGAGGCCACAAAACCAGCACAUACACUUCCACACUUCCAUGGAAAACUACAAAAAUACACUUUUCCACACUUUCAUAAUACUACAGAAAUACACAUAUCAAUCAGUAAAUAAUAUGUAAAGUAUUAAAGUAUGUGUACAACAAAUUCCUCCACUAAUACACACUUUCCACAUAGUACUACAACAAAUACACUCUAAAGUCAACACCUAAAACACUACAAUACAACACCUAUUCAUAAACUACUACAAGCAGAAAACCUGAAAAUUAAAGUAUUACAACAAGUAGUACUAGAAUCUCGUAGCUUAUAUAUUAAAACAAUUAGUAUUAGUACUAGUAACUUAUAAACUACAAAAAAAAGUGUAAAAGCUUACACAAAUCGGCUAACAAAGCUUGCAUAUUUUGUUCAAAUCUCGUCAAUCUCCUCUUGCGUAUAUGCACUUUUUUGUAUUAAACUACGCAAAAAGAAAGGUAUGGAAAGAAUAAGUUUAGAUAAUUUAUGUAAUUUGUAACAUAUAAAAAGUGAAAGUAGAAACUUACAAGGCUAGUGAUGGAGUACUAGAAUUAUGCACGAUUUCAUGUAUAUACUUUUGACAUAAUACCCACACCCAACCGAAUCCAAUUGACGAGGACACUGCAUGUAUAUAAAUUACAUACAAAUUAUUCUUAUGUUUCAUUGAAAAUAAUUAUGUGUCAAUGCAAAUUACCUUUAUAGGUUUCCAUUUCGGAUUUGACCGAUAAUGUUGUAAAUCAUGCUUAGCUUGCCAUGUUUUUAAUCCUCUAUACAUUUGGAAACAUUAGAAUUAGAAGACAAUGAAGUCAAAUAAGAAGUAAAUCAUAAGUCACAUUUAUGACUCCAUGGAUGUCUUCGUUAACUUUACUUUGAAGAGAGUCCAAAACAUAAACACAGUUCUCUCGAAGAUCGAUGACAUGCAACAUCCAAUGAAAACUACAAUAAACAUCUUCAAUGUGAGUAUACAUUUAACCAUUGCUAUCAUCAAGUAUGGUUGCUAUUGCAACAAUAUUAUUAAUCGUUCCUAUAGCCAAUUUGCACGGUGUUUACUUUACAAGUAUUAAAAGCAUCAUUAAGAACAAUUUAUCCUAUAAACAUUAAAAUUUUAAAAGUGACAACAAAGUUAAUUACCUUCACUUCUUCGUUCAUAGGUGUGUUGCCCAAAUCCUCAUGCAUAGAGAUCUAUGACACUUCUGAUGGACGAUCUCAAGUGAUUAUGACUCUUCUUGUAACUUUUGCUUUUUGAUUCAUCUUCUACAACUUGAGAACUUGCAAUUUUCUCUUUCCCUUUCACUGUCUUGAAAUAUAGUGAUUGAGAGACAAAACCAUCCAUGCCACGUACACGUCCACCAUGCUCCUUAGAGCCCAAUGACUCAGUUAAUAUGUCCUCAUCUCUAUGUGUUUCAACUAAUGCAUCCCAUAGAACAAUACAAGUAUUCAUCAUUAACUAAGUUAACAAAAGAUUAAAUAUUGUAUAUAAGUAAAUCGCAAGCAAACUUACGAUUCGAGAGACACAAUCUCGAGUAGCAUCAUCAAAAUAAUCAUUGUUUUUUCCUUUUCUUGCACACGCACACGCACACACCCACACACACACGUGCACACACACGAACACACGCAUGAACGCAUGCACACAUCCACAGACACAUGCACGCAAACACGCACGUCCACCAUACGGGCACAUGCGCACACACACGCACACCACCACACGGGCACAUGCACGCACGCACAAAUGCGCAUGCACACGCGCGCGCGUACAUGCACAUGCACACACACGAACACAUACGCACGCACACACAUGUGCACACACACACUCGCACACGCACACCCACCCACAGGCACUUGCACGCACCACACACAUGCACGCACGCGCACCCACAUGGGCACAUGUGCACUCAUACACACACAAGCACAUGUACACCCACCCACAUUGGCACACGUGCACUCGCACACGCACAUGCAUACACCCACACACACGCACGUCCAUGCGCAUGCACGCACACGAACACACGCAUGAACGCACACACACAUCAAGACACGCACGCGUACACACACACAUACAUGUACGAACAUACGCACACCCACCCACACAAACAUAUGCGCAUUGCACACAUGCACACACACACACCCACACACAUGCACGCACGCGCACAUGCACACUCAUCCACACGGACACAUACGCACUAACACACACGAGCACACACACACCCACACAGACACACGCGCACUUUCACACGCACACACAAGCACACGCAUACGUACACACCUACAUACAUGCGCAUGCACACACACGAACACACGCAUGAACGCACGCACACAUCCACACACACACACGCACGUACACACGCGCACACACAAUCACCCACACGGGCACAUGUGCACUUGCACACACCCACCGACACACAUGCACGCACGCGCACAUGCACAUCCACACACACGGACACAUGUGCAGUCACACACACGCACGCACACACCCAUAUGGGCACGCCAAUCUCACACACACACAGCACACGCACACACACAAGCACAUGCACAUGCACACACACGAACACACACAUGAACGCACGCACACAUUCACACAUGCACACACACAUCUACACACACAUGCACACAUGCACACACACACACACGCACACGCACAUCAACCCACACGGGCAAACGCGCACUCGCACAUAUGCACACACACACGCACACACGUACAUAUGCACAAAGAUGUGAAAAUGAAUUAAAUUUAAAAAACAAUUACAUUAAUUGUGUUUAGAAUAACUUUUAAACUAUAUUCAUUUAACUUAAUAACAUUAAUUAAAUUAUAAUUUUUAUUAAUAUUGAUUUAAGAGUGUCAUUAGUGUAAUUAUAUCAAUAUAAUGCGUCUUAUCCAAUUUUACCAACAAAAAACAAGUCAAAUAUGAACUAGUAAAUCCACACUCUUUGUCAUAAGAGAUAUAAUAACGUUUUUAUGGGUCAUUUUAAAAAAUGACAAAACAACUUUUUCUUUUGAAUUUUAGCAAAUAGCAUUUUUUAUCUGAAAAAGAUACAUCAACCCAUAAUAACGUUUUUAGAUCCGUCCCAAAACGAUCAAAAUGGGGGCCACCAAUGUCGUGGCCUCAAAAGAAAUUACCUAGCCCAGAAAAGUGUCGGAGGUCUCGAAAGUUCAAAUCCAGCUACUAGGUGGUCUCAUCUCGAGAAGGUUCAGAGUUUUUUUGCCCGCAAAAGCCGAACGGUGAUGCCCAAGGCUCUGCUUUUUAGUUCUGUCCCAAAACGACGAAAAUGGGGCCACCAAUGCCAUGACCCUAAAGAAAACUACCCAAACCAAAACAUGGUCGGAGAUCUCAAAAGCUCACAUCCACCUACUGGGUCGUCUCGUCUCGAGUAGUGUUAGAGUUUUUUUUUUUUUUUGCACACAAAAGUCGAACGACGAUUCUCCUUGUUUCGCUUCUUAGUUUCGUCCCAAAAUGCCGAAAAGGGGGUCAUUAAUGUCGUGGCCCUAAAGAAAACUACCCAACCCAGAACAAUGUCAGAGGUCUCAAAAGUUCACAUCCAACCACUGAUGGUCUAGUCUCGAGUAGUGUUAGAGUUUUUUUCCCGCAAAAGCCGAACGGUGAUGCCCACGGUUCGCUUUUUAGUUUCGUCCUAAAACGCCGUAAAGGGGUCACCAAUGCGUAGCCCCCAAAGAAACUACCCAGCCCAGAACAGUGUUGGAGGUCUCGAAAGUUCACCUCCAGAUACUAGGUGGUCUGUUUAGAGUUUUUUUUUGCCGCAAAAGUUGAACGGUGAUUUCCUUGGUUUCGCUUCUUAGUUUCGUCCCAAAACGCCGAAAAGGGGGCCACCAAUGUCGUGUCCCCAAAAGAAUCUGCCCAACUUAGAAUAGUGUCGAAGGUCUCGAAAGUUCACAUCCAGGUACUCGUGGUGUCGUCUCCAGUAGUGUUAGAGUUUUUAUGGCCUGCAAAAACCAAACGGUGAUGCUCAGGCUCUGCUUUUUAGUUUCGUCCCUAAACGUCGAAAAGGCCACCAAUGUCGUGACCCUAAAGAAACUACCCAACCCAGAACAGUGUCGAAGGUGUCAAAAGUUCACAUCCACCUACUGAGUCGUCUCGUCUCGAGUAGUGUUAGUGUUUUUUUGCUUGCAAAAGCUGAACGGUGAUACCUAAGGCUCUUUUUUUUAGUUCAGUCCUAAAACACCGAAAGGGGGCCACCAAUACCGUGGCCUCCAAAGAAACUACCCAACCUAAAACAAUGUCGAGGUCUCGAAAGUUCACAUCCAACUACUGGGUGGUCUCGUCUCGAGUAGUGUUAGAGUUUUAUUUGGACGCAAAAGUCGAACAGUGCUGUUUUAAGGUUCGCUUUUUAGUUCCGUUCCAAAACGCCAAAAAGGGGGCUACCAAUGUCAUGUCCACGAAAGAAACAACCUAACCCAGAACAGUGUCGGAGGUCUCAAAAAUUCACAUCCAGCUACUUGGUUAUUUCCUUGGUUUCGCUUCUUAGUUUUGUCCCAAAACGUCGAAAAGGGGGGCCACCAAUAACGUGGUCUCGAAAGAAACUAUCUAGCCCAUAACAGUGUCGGAGGUCUCGAAAGUUCACAUCCAGCUACUGGGUGGUCUCGUCUCGAGUAAUGUUAGAGUUUUAUUUGCCUGCCAAAGCCGAACGGUGAUGCCCUAGGGCCACUCUUUAGUUCCGUCCCAAAACGUCGAAAAUGGGGCCAUCAAUGUCGUGGCCACCAAAGGUCCAGGUGACUAUUAUCUCAAACUUCCCUUUCAAGAUCUGACAACUCCCCAUCGCGGAGGCUAAUCUGCCUAGAGGAGUUCAGUAGUUGAAGAAGUGCUUUGUUUUUUCUCUUUCUUUAGAGUAUUAACUUAGUCGAUCACUCGAAGAGAAUUAGAUGGUAAGUUGUAUUGCCUACAGCUUUCAACCCUUUCUUCCAUAAUCUCCAGAACAAGAAACCCCAUAUUCAUCCCACCCCAAGGAAGGGAAGACCUAGUCGGCAGAACAAAAUAGGCCUCGUAGACCAAGGAAGAGUCUGAGGCUCAAGCCUCAUCCCUUGAAUAAGAGGAGGCGCAAAGAAUAUUGCGAAGAUUUUUGCUUUCUUUUGUGGUGCAAAGAAUAUUGCGAAACUUUCCAAGUCAAAAGAAGCCAGAGGAGACGAUAAAGGAGGGAGAGAGACUGACAUCAAGAUCAAGAGCAAGCCUUUCUUUUUCAAGUGUCGUUGCGGUGAGUUAUCGUGUAGUCUAUCGUGGCUUUUAACGAGCUGCUGAUGAAAAGACAAGAAGAAGAAAGCCUACCCUUGAACUGCGGAGUAUGAGUGAAAGGUUAGGCCUUACGAAAAAAUUCCCCGAUCGAAGAGCGCCUAACCGCUUGGGAUAGCCUAUGAACAUUGAUUCAGUCAAUCCUACCUCUCUCUCAAGUAAACUAGCUGAAGCAGUUCCAUUCCUCAAAAUAUGAGAAAGCUUCUCCGACUUGAGUUAGCUAGCUUUACCGUUUGUGACCUUGAAAAUAGGCUUUCAAUCGAUUAGAUAACCUCUUUAGUCGAGCUAGUCCCACUUACUAUGGCAAGAAAUAAGGAGCCCUUGCACUCCUCCUUAUUGUCCCACUCCGAGAACUAUGUUCGGAGUCUACUCUCCCUCGAAAAGAGCCCACGUAGCAUCAACUCAUCUGGAGCUUGAUUUUCUCCACUCCUACUUACUCUAACCUCUUGAAGUAUAAUAACCUUCCUUUUAGAAAGUCUGGAAAGACGGAUGACUCCUACUGGUCAAUAUUUGGUCUAGUCGUCUGACUUUCCCCUUCUGAGCCUUAGCAAGUGAAAAGAAAGUGAGAAUUCCACAGAGAAGAUUAAGUUCAGGGGAGCGAGCAUCGAGGCUAAUCUCCUUCACUAUCUUAAAUGGGACAGGUCCUAUUCUUUCCUAAUAGUGCAUCACAUGCCUUUCUAGAUGAUAGAUGAGGAAAUCCUAAACUCCCGACUAGUCUCUAAUCCCAAGGAUGGAUAAUAUUCCACCUGAGAAAAGUCACCCAUGGGGCGGUGAAUUGGUCGUCUUUUAGCUUCUUACUCUACCCUAAGAUGGAAAAGAAAGCUCUUCUUCUUCAUGGUUUGAGGGCCUUUGGAUUGAUGGGACGGAAAGAGCAAAGUUCAGCAAGAUCCAUCAUCAAUAAAGAACACGAGGUCUACAAUCUUUAACAGAUGUCGCUCCCCUCUCGCCUUUACCUAGCCUAUGCUGAAUCGCUCCUCUUUAGACUCUUCUUUGCUCUUGGUCUGCGAGAUAGCAAGAUUGAAUGCUAGGUAGUCCUCUUUUUCACCCUUUGCCUAGGCCUAGACACCUAUGGAAGUGAGCCUUUACUCAUAAGAACCGCUACUGAUUACAUUCCGUCUAUCUUACCAGAAAGACUAUUUCAAGGAAUGCGGAAUGAAAAAAGAAUAAAAGCAUAUUCACUAGUACUCUCCAGCUGCUAUGGCACCAACCAUUCAUUCAAUCUCGAUUCCUUUUUGCUUCUCAAUUUCAUCGAGCUCUUGUCCAAUUCGUGCAAAGACUAGUUUACUAGUGUUAUUUUCUACAAAACGAAUGUUCAGAUAAGAGAAACUUCAUCGAAAAGAAAGCGAAAAUUUUCACUGGGUUAAUAUGGAUAGUCCUUCAGAACUGUCUCGCAAUAUGCUUUGCGUCUUAUCCAUAGAUCUUUGCACCUUGCCUCUAAUUAGAGUAAAAGGCAUAAAUAUAAAUCAUGAUGAUAAGGAAAGUCAAAAAUUUAUGAGAUCAAACUCAACCUCUGUGCUCAAAGGGGUAUGUACUGAUUCCCCACCUCGCCCAGAGGAAAAGAAGAAUGAAGGAAAGGUGCAAAGAGUUAUGCCUUCAAACUAAAAAAAGGCGAUCAAAAGGACAGGUCUUAUCUUUGUUCAUUGGUUUUCCUACCAAGAAAAUUGAUCAGUCCCUAGAAUUAUAUUUCUUACUUGAUGAUGGAAGACUUGAAGCCUCAUUACUUGGAGUUGACUCCUUUGAAGCUACUAUAGAUGCUUCGUUGAACUUCUGAACCUGGGGUUUAUGGUAAGCUUUUCUUUCGCCCUAGAGAAGGCUAUGUGCUUUCUUUCUUUGUGUCUAGUAAGAGGAAGCCGCCAAGGAAUAGGAAAUCACUCAAUUCAUUCAACCUUAAGAAUCGCUUCACUUCAAGCCUUCGUAGCUUUAAUAAUUCAUUCUUUCUCAAUUCUUUGAUCAUCUUGAGCCAGCCGAUCUGGAGGACUUAAGAUUCCGCUAAAGUUGCAAACGUUAAGAGUAUUAAGGCCACUCAAAGGAGUCUUACCAAUAAUAUCCAUCUUGAUCCUUUAUAAAUAAAUUUCAGACGUUAGGCACAAAGAAUAUUGUGAGUCCGCUCCUCUUGAGUUUGAUUCCAAUAAUAUUUUUCAUGAUUCUUAUAAACAGUUUCAAAUUUUUGAUGAAUUACAAUGAGCCUACCUUCCUCCCGUAGAUCAAUCUAUGAGCCUUAUGGUUGGGGCCUUUUGUCCUUAUGGCAAGAGUUUCGUUUGUCCUGCUAGUUCAUCCCUCUCCUUAAUAAAGAAAGAAGAGGAUAUUCACAACAAAUAAAGAAAAAGAGCAGCUAAUACGGCUAAGAAAGUGCCACGCCCCACUCCGAGCACCUGCUUGCUCAACCCGAGAUGUAGCGUGAAACCAACUGAUGUCAUUAUUCUUCUAAACAACAUUAAUUGACCCUAACUAUAACUUACUUCUAACAACCUAUAUGAAAUUAAAACUUAUGUAGCAGAAACUAAGAGAAAUAACUUGAACAGCUUUUUAAACUUUAAACAGGUAGUCGAGGCUAAAUGCCAUUAAUUACAAACUUUACUUACAGACCAAACAAAAAUUAAACAACUUCAACUUAUGCAAACCAUGUACAUGAUAAGAUUAAAACCGACCCUUAAAAACUAACUAUCAACAAGUUUCACACUGCAAUCUGAAGACAACGGUCAGGUUCUCGAAACACGACCUCUACUGGAAAGUGAAAAAACAUUUUGAAAGGUGAGCUAAAAAGGCCAGUGAGUGAUAGUUUUAUAAAACAAAUAUACUUUAAAAAUUUCAGAAAUAUAACAUAAAGUCUUUAAGAAAUCUCCUUUAACUUAACACUUUAUAACAUUCAAAUACUUCUAUCAUAAACAAGAUAGCAGAGUGCCUUCUGUCAUACUAUCGCGUUAACCUCGAUUAAAUACUCGGUUAGGAUAGCAGAGAACUGAUCUUUUUAUUCCUGCCUGAACUCGGUCAAGAUAGUAGAGUACUGAUCAUAUUAUUCUUGCCUGAACUCGGUGGUAGCGACUAAAUGGUCAGCAUAGCUCUAUACCUCUACUGUGCACAUUGACCAUCGAGAACUCGAUAUAUAGAGUACCAUGAUUUUCUCUUUAAAAACAUUCUAUUCAGCUCAUGCUUUUUAUAAAUCAUUGCUUGUAAGUCUUAUAAAUACAUGCUUGCUAAAAAUGUUUCUAAACUCAUGUUAUAGAAUACUUUUUUAAAUAGCAUGCAUUAAUAUUUUUCAUAAACAUAUUGAUAAAUAGAAAUAAGAUUCACUUAAAAGCCUACUAAAUAAUAGCUCGAAAAACAUAUUAGAAUCAUUAUCAUUUUGCAAAUUAUAAGUUGAAAUAGUCGUAGUAAAUUUAUUUUUCACUCACUGAUCGCAGAUCAAACCCUUGAAGAUAAGCUUGUCUAAUUUCCCCUUGUCUUGAAAUGACGGAAAACAACUCCAAUUAAUUCCCUUUUAUUCUAAAACAUCAAAUACAUCGCCAAAACAUUUAGAAAAACCUUCCUCAAACCAAAAUGCAUGCCCAACAUGCCAUGCUAAUUUCUUAAACUUGGCCACUGCCCAAAACCUCAUUCUCGGCCAUAACUCAGCUUCUUUAGAGCUUUAGAACUUAAAAAUCCAGAACUCAAAUAAACAUAUAUCCUUCUACAAAGUUGUUGAAAAACGUCUUGUUAUUCAUACCUAAAAUUUUCAACUUCAGAUUCCAACGGAUGUACUCUACAGCCCUCUGGAAGUCCACAUUGUUCAGAACCACCAGUAUUCUGACCUUUCUUGCUUUCUACCGCCAAAACGCAACUCUCCGUUACUCAAAUUAAAUCAAAAACCCCAACUUAGAAACUAGACUCAAAAUGAAAACUUUUAAGACUAAUUUCACUCAAAACACUCGAGUGGAUUGUGAGAAACUUAAUACUAAAUUUGGCCUAUUUAUAGAGUUCAUUGCAUGAGUACAAGUUGACACCUCAUCCUUGCUUAAAUUCACCUUAAACCUUCUUAGGGAACCUCCUACUUACUUUACACCCUUAAAAUGCAUAACUCUUUUGACAAAACUUUCUUCUACUACAAAGUUUCUCUAAAUGUGUUUUCUUCCCUAAAAAAUUUUUUCCUGAAAUUUUGAGGAAGAAAACGCCAAACGAUGCGUUCUGUAGCGUUCUAAGAGUGUAGCUUGCUCAGAUUCACUCGCAAACUGACCCUCUUGCCUUCUUUUGUCCAAACGUCAACUUUCUCAUAUCCAAAACGUCCAGCAACCUUCUUCAAUAAACUAGACUCAAAUUAUGAAUUUUCAAGUCUAGAUUGAGUGUAAUUUUCCGAGUUGUGAGAAACUCCUUUCUGAAGUUAGCUAAAACACCUAACCUCUUUAAUCCUUCUUUCUUGCCAACCUUAAACACUCAAAACCCUUUCUAACCUCUAAAACCAUUUUGCCAAGUCAACCCAAUACGCCUAAAAAGUACUAUUCUUUGAUAUUGAACCAAAAACUUUCCUUCUUUCAAACCUCUUAAACUCUUUGAAAAAGACUACACUACCCAAAGUUUGGGUCUUACAUAAAGAAAGAAGAAAAUAGACUCAAGAUAUAAAAAUAAGGAAGUUAAUCAUCUCGAAAGAAAAGAUAUAAGGAGAAUUUCAUUUUGAUGCCUCUUGAUCUUUAACUCAUCUUCGCUAUUCCUUUCUACCUCUUUCCCCUUUAUGUGGAAAGACCUGGUUGGAUAGCCAUAGGUCCAAGGUUUCUAGUCUUUUUACUAGUUUGGAAAAGCCAACUAAUUCAGUUUAGUAGAGGUGUAAAACGGAGAUUGCUUGAGUUCGACGAAUGAAAGAGAGCUCGUACCCGCAGCUUUUCCUUGAUUAUGCACUCAUGUGGGUAAUAGGCUUUCCUUCCUUGUCGUAGGUUCCUUUUGUUGGGACUUUUUCCUUCCCUCCUUCUUACUUGUUCAUCAUACCAUAGUAAUAAGAAUUUCUUAGAAAUAAGCUACUUUCUCUCCUUCAACUACUGAUCAAUUAGAACCUCGCGUCUGCACGCACCUUGUUUUUAGGACUUUAGGAAAUGGAAGAAUGUCAAAUCGAAUAAUUUGACUUUAUGUACACUAAGACAAGUGAAUGGGUGUCUGUCUUUUAGCUUUUCUUGAUAUACAUGAAUAUAGGACAACCAUAGAGUAUAUGAGAUUAGGGGAAGAUUCUUGAGACCUCAACUCUGCCGCGACUGUCAAUAUUCUUUGAACCUCUUUUCCUUGCCUUUGUCUCGUUAGUUUGGGAAUCAGGAAGAAGCUAAGCAAGGCAUGAAGAAAUUAUUAACCAUUCUAGACGUCAUUCAGGUUGGAUGCCAAAUACGAGAAAACCUUUCUGAAGAGUAUGAAUGUGAAAUUCUCAUAAGCAAUGAGAUAACCACUAGCUUAACCACCAUGAGCCACACCCAUGGGCCGAUCGUACCCCUUCAGUUCUUUUUCAACCUCAAAAAAUUGAGUGAAGCAUCAAAAUGAAAUUCUUUCACUUCGUUUUCAUCUAUUUUCUAGAGAGCUUUACAAAUAAGGUCUUCAACGUAGAACCUAAUUACAAACUGGUACAAUUGUCUUUCUGUAAGAAGGUAUCAUGUCCAUUUAUCACAAGAGAUCGACUUAGAAGUUCAAAUGCACUUAAAUAAUGAGAAGGAUUAUUAUGGGUAGUGCCAAGAGGCGCAAUUCAAUAUGCGUGAGAAGCGCAUUUAAGAAAAAAGGUUUGAGGAGGAGGGGAGAUCCAGAUACUCGUUGGAGACUCCAACCAGCACGAUUAGUUGUCUUCCUGCUCUCAAAAGUCUACCUGGAAAUAAAAGGAAGUUUCAGAAACUUUAGGAUGAAAGGCAUAGGAAGGCGUAGGAGCGAGGGAGUCAAAACCUUGCAUUUCUGAAUUUGAGCUAAUACCUACGGUAUUUCGACCAUUAUUUCUCCUUUUAAGCCACUUAUCUAAUAACCUCACGAAUGAAAGAGUGAUCCAUCCUUAGCAAGAAGAGCUGAAACUGGGAAUGAAUAAAAGGAAAUAAGAAGGAAUGAGGCUUCCUGCUCCAAAAGAAGACGGUAAAGCUUUUGGUCUCGCCUUUUCUCCUCAGCCUUUCUUUUGCACUCCUUUCAAAGUCACUGAUUAUUAUACAUAAUCAAUUCUAUUUCCCUUUCAUGGGAUAGAUGAUGGAAUUUCCGCAAAUUCGAUUAGGAUGAAGAAGCCCACGUAGCAGUUGUGAGUUUUUCACGGACUUACUCGUACAUUAUCGUUCUCAGCACCUCAAUAGAGGGUUCCACUUCUUCUGGAAAAAGUUCAAGACCUAGGCUUGAUCUUUGUAAAUGAGAAUAUAUAGAAAGAUAAAAAUCUAAGAUAGAAGAGUUGGGCACAAAAAAAUAUAUAGAAGAUUUUCGCUUGAUUUUAGGCAAUAUCCCAAAAAUACCCUAUCUUAUGGAGCCUUUGUUUUUGUUCAAUGGAUAAACAAGUCUAGAGGAUGAGUAGGAGGUACGAAGAAUAUUGCAAAGAUUUUUGGUUCAUUUUGCAAAGGAAGAAUAUUGACAAAGAUCAUUGAUAAGAAACUUUCUAGAAUUCUUUUCUCAUAUGGACCCCGUCCAGAGGACUUGUUUAUCCAUUAAAAGAGUCAUGUUCCUUUAAAAAGAAGUUUCUGAUGUAGGCUUUUUAUUUGACGUUAGGAGUUAUUCCAAUAAUAUCCAUCCAGAUUCCACUAAAGUUGCAUACGUUAGGAGUAUUAAAACUGGCUAUCCAUUAGGGAAUUUGAGAGUUAUUUCACUAAAGUCCUAAUCCUUUAUAAAACAAUUUUUCACGACAAAAAAAAGUGAAAGAUAAAAAAAAAAAAAUCAGAACUAUGUUGUAUUUACAAAAUAUACAAGUUAUUUGGUUAUACAUUACAAUUUCUUUAAUUAUUUUUGGAUUCAAUAUUUUUGGAGUUUGAUUCAGUAAAAAGUUGGACAGUGUAUAAAAUUUCGUAAAAGAAACUUUUUUUUAUAUUUAUUAUUAUUAUUAUUAAUAUUUUAAAGAAACUAAAUACACUAUAAGAAAUAAUAUUUAUACAAACUCAGAACCACAUAUAUGCAUAAUGCAUAUUACAACUCAGAGCAAUUUUAUUAGUCAUAAAAAAAAAAACAAUGAAGGCAUUCUUGUUGUAUUAUAUAAUACAAUAAUACUCAUACUCAAAAGUCAAAACAUUCAUGUGCUUGACUUCACAAUUGACAAUUGCCUUCCUAUUAUUUUCCUACAUGCCUUAAGGUCUUUCUCUAAAAUUACAAACUACUGACAUAUUACACCAGAACAACUUAAGCCAACAAUGAAGGUUAGAUUAAUAGAUAUUGUAAUGGAAGUCACUAAGUAGUAAUAACAUGUUACAACACAAAGGUAAAGCCAAAGAUUAAUGUUAGUGUUACAGGAAAAUUCAGUUAGCUCAACCUCUAUAUGGAAAAGCCUAAGAAAGCUUAAAAAGCUUAAAGGUCGAGCUAUAGUCAGAGAACUCAGAAAGCUACAGAGGAUAGCAGAAGAAGAUGGACCACUGCACAACUAAAAAAUUUAGGAAGAAUUUUGUAACAGCCAGUAUUUUUUAAUAUACCUAUAUAACAAAAACAUGGAAAACUUAAGAAAUAUGAACUUUUAAAACUUACACAAUUCAACGGAAGCAAUUUAUUACAAACAAUUGUUAUGUCAAACUAUUCACUACCCUUUAUUGAACCUUCUACCUCAAAAGGGAGAAUACAAGUCAAUUAACGCUAACCUAAACACAAUUUAACUAACAAAAUUUCUCUGAUGCUCUACCAAGAUGUCACCAAGCUCUUAAGAAAAAACAAUUCAACUGCCAGAGUCAUGUCUGAUCAUGAAGGCUUUAAUAUUGUUUUCACUCAUGAAAUGCACUGUUAUGAGACAGCAUAGUAUUCCUCAAGACCGAUGAAUGAAAAAGGACAACAAAAUCUUUCAUUUAAACUUCUUUAUUGGCCAAUGCAAUAUUGCUACUUUUACCUCUGGAAGAAGCUAAUAUGACAUCUGGUCUAGGCUUCCUUAUAACUUUUUUCAUAAGGUGAAGGUACCGAUGCCUCAUCCCCAUCAAAGGGUGCUUCUCUACCAAAAAAAUCUUUCUUAUAAGCCUCCCGAAGAACUACAGUUUGUGUUCUAAUCUUGUUUGAGACAUAAAAUAUACCUGGGUGAUGAACUAUGGCUUUCUUAAACCUAUAACCAAACCCCAAAUAGUCUCCCAAGCAGAAGAUGUUCUCCUUUUCGGUUUUCUUCGAGAUCGUAAGAUAAAGCAACUCAUGGAGAACAGCCACAACCCAUUUCUCAGCUUGGUCCGUAUUUGGUGCUAGAUGAAAUGCAUUUUCAUAGGGCGAAAUGUACGGCAAAUCCUGCCACUCCUCCACACAAUUCAUCACUUUCUUUUGCAAAUCAAAACCCCUCGGGAAACUCAUUGGAAAUGGAAUAUGAUUUAUUUUCCUUCUCCCAAAAUUUCCUUCCAGAGAUUCCCUUUUCUUCAAUUCAGAGACUGCAAGGUCUUUCCUCCAAGAAAGUAGCUCUAAUGCAAGAGGUUGUUCACCUGUUAAACAGUCUCUUUCACACUACAAACUUGAAAAUAUUCAGGAUAACCAGCAAGAAGGGUUGGAAUGAACCUAUAGGGUAAACCCAAAUCCCAUUGCAACCUCUCAAUAACAUAUAGGGGAAAUUUUCCAACCCCUAUGAGCAUCAAUAGUUUUGCUAACCUCUUCACAACAUCAUCUCUAUGUAGUCGAGAGUUAUGAAUGGUUGAUUCUUCCUUGUGGAGAAGUAAAGCUUGUGAGGUGAUUUUGACAUGAGGAUGGAGACCAAGACUAGGCUGGAAUUGGAUGAAAACAUAAGGGUAUAACUCGAAGAACUUGGAGAUGGUGGUAGUGGGAACUUUGAGGUUCUGAUUAAGCAAAAAGACAAGAAGAAAGUGGAACAGAUGUUAAAGGACUCGAAAUUAUUAUAUUCUUAAGGGAAAUUACUUGUUUGAGGUUUUUCUCUCUUUGAACUGCAAAAUCAAGGUAUGGAUCUCUAACCCAUUUGACCUUUGCAUCAAUGAAAGCACAAAUCUGAGUGAAACGAUGAGGGAUUAUAGUAAUUUGUAGAAUCAUAAGCAAGAAAGGUUAGAAAACAUUGUCUAGAUUGGGAAAUAGAAAUGGCUGACAAUGGGAAUCGAGAAGGCUAAACUGACCAAAUUAGACAAGAGUUUGUAAAGAUUAAAUAAUCAAAGGAAACGAAAAUUCAACUUAGACUCUGCUUGGUGGCUGCUUCAGAAUAGAGUCACCCUAACUACCCUUUAAAACUAUCACCUGAUUUUCCAUCUGAAAACACUUUGAAAUCAAAGAUUAGUACAAAAAUACUCAAUAAGCAAUUCUCAUAUCAAGCUUUGAAAUUCACAGAACUUUCUGUCAAAAUUUUUCUAGAAAGAAUACUUUCAAAAUCAAAAUAUUGCAAGAAAAUAAGUUUUAAAACCUAAAUGCUUCAAGCUGAAACUCCUAUAAUGAAUGGUAUUUUCAUACUUUUUAUAACACUAAUAUUUCAAUACUUUCAAAUGAAAAUUCUUCAAUCGGUAAAAAGAACUUUCGAUCAACAAAUACAUCCAUACAAACAAAACUUUCAAUCAUUCAGUUCAAAUACAAAGUAGGAAAAAUGCAUAGUUCAUGUAGCCCAGUAGGUAUGGCUACCCCUUGGUAAGAUCAACAGUUCAUUCAAUCCGAGAUGUCAAUUAACAAUCGACCACAUAUGAAUCGCCAUUUAAAGCAUGCAAACAAUUUUGAAACUAAUUACCUCGAUCGACAAUCAUCCUUGAAAAUUCACUUCCUUGGCGUUCGGUGGGUGUGGCCGCUGGAGUGUCGCCGGAGAAGAGGGUCGGCGGCUAUUUGAUAGAGAAAGGAAGACGACUGAUGAGGCUAGUGUCACGUGGUUAAAGUCUGAAGCUAACCAUACGUGCGGCACUUGGCUAACUACAAUGCCCACGUAGCCAAGUAAGCCUUUUCGGGAAGGGGUAGUGCGCCAAGCACUACACCAACGUGUUGCAGCGAAAUUAAUUGGGUUGGUUGCAAGACACGAGAGAGGUUGGAAGGAUAAGGGAGUUUGGAUGGAUACGUCUUGGGAAUGAUACACUGCAUUCCAAGAAUAGAUUAAUACACAUUUGGGUACAAAUAUGUUGUCUCUUGCCAUGGGGGCCAUGGGCAAGGAGACUUGGUAUGGCAAGGUGACCUUGCAUGGCUAACACAUGCAAAGUUGCAAGGUUGCAAGGCUUGGUACAAAUGAGGCCCUCCCUAAGUAUUUAUAGACCUUCCCCACCGACCUUGGGCCUUAGAAGGUCGGCCAAAGGAGUUUCUAGAUGAUACAAGAUCAUUUAGUACAUUACAAGGAAGCCUAGAACAUUCUAGAGAGGAUUAGACCUUUUAUGACACUUCUUAACCGUCAUAAUAGCCUUCUAAAGUGUUCCAGCACGUUUCAGAAUCAUCCAGCACAUUCUGAGGCCUUCUCGGGAGCUUCUCGCGCAUUCCAGCACGUUCAGCACUGUCUAGGGCGUUCUAGAGGCUUCUGAGGCUGUCUAGGUCGAGCAUGGGCGAGGCAGCACGCACAUGGGCGUGUCUAGGUCCUUCUUGAAGCUUCUGGAGGUUCUCGGAGCAUCUGGAACUGGGGCAGACACGGGCGAGCGCACUAGGGGGCCGCGCGCGCCUGUCGCUGGUGUAGGCUGCGCGCAAUGUUAGCAUCGGCGAGCGUGCGCGGACGUCGUGCGCGCCAUACCUGGGCGAGCAUGGGCGGCGACUGAGCCCCGCGCGGUUGCUUGGCUUGCCGCCUGGCCAUACGCAUGGGCCCGUGCGCAUGGGCCCGAUGGUGGGUGCUGGUGUCGGGUGUCACGGACAUAUUUUUCCAAAGUGUGUUUACCUUUGGUUAUAUGCUCCGAUUAUCCCCAGUUUAUCUCAUCUUUAGUUUCCAUGACUAGUUUAGGUGUUUGCUUUUCAUUCUAGAUCAUAAAUCUUGGGUGUGACGUUUCGCAUUUUCAUAUGCAAGCCUGCCAGAGCUGAAAAUGUUCAAAAUGUAUUAUAGGGGAGACAUACCAGUUGAAUCCCCGCUCGAGCAUUAGUUGUACUCUUUGGAAGCAACCAUUUUUCCUUGCAAUUGACGGUCUUUAAUGCUUAUCGUAACGUCUAUUUCAAUUUAUUUCUUUCUUUCCCGCGUUUUAUAAAUAAAAUUUCCCUAAAACGCAAAGGAAGGUUACGACAUACGUCGACGUUACCUACAACUCUUGGAUUUUUAUCGACUUGCUUGUUCGUUGAGUUAGAACAAGUGUCGCACAAUCGUCCUUCUCGAGGUUGAAACGCUACGAUUGUGACAAGUGGUAUCAGAGCCAAAUUGGCUGACAGUUUAGACAGAGAGAUGUUGACGGUAAAACGAACGGGCAAGACCCAUGAAGAACGGUUGGUGGUGAUCGAAGAGCAAAUGCUCCACCUGAAGGAAGUUUCUGAUUCCAUCUGAUUUAUGGAAGAACGACUUGAGAAAGUUGCCAAGAGAGUCGAUGUUGUUGAUGCGGUGUCUGGUCGCCUGGACGGAUUACCCAUACAUGAUUUGUUGGCUAGAGUUGACACGUUAGAGUCACAAAUCAGGAAAAUUGAAAAUGUUCCCUACGAGCGUGGGAACAGUUCAUCGGGCUCUGUUGCCCGAAUGGAGGAGCGAGUUAUAGAGCUAGAUAACUCUCAGAAGGAUAUAAUGGAGAUGAUAAAUGGUAUGACAGAGGACUUUCGAGCCACCCUGGAUGUCGUUAGAAAUGAAAUCGUAGAGGUGAACACGAAGGUGAACCUUACGAUGCGAGCGUUGGCCAAUCAAGCUCCGGCUGGAGGAGCGAUUACAAUUGGCAAGAUAAAGAUCCCAGAACCCAAGCCCUUCUGUGGGCCAAGGGAUGCAAAGGCAUUGGAAAACUUUAUCUUCGAUAUUGAGCGGUAUUUUAAAGCCACAAACACCGUGGCGGAGGAAGCCAAAGUGACAUUGGCGACCAUGCAUCUAUCUGAGGAUGCAAAGUUAUGGUGGAGGUCCCGAUAUAUUGACAUUCAAGAAGGGCGUUGCGUAAUAGACACUUGGGACAGUUUGAAGAGAGAACUUCGCUCACAGUUUUUCCCCGAGAAUGUCGACAUUCUGGCUCGAUGGAAACUAUGGGAAUUAAAGCACACUGGAACCAUUCGGAAUAUGUGAAGCAAUUUGCGGGGCUGAUGUUAGACAUAUCUGAUAUGACCGAGAAGGACAAAAUCUUCAGUUUUGUUGAAGGGUUAAAAUCAUGGGCAAGGACUGAGUUAUACGAACAGAGAGUUCAAGACCUUGUGUCAGCCUAUGCAACAGCUGAGCGUUUGUUUGAUCUGUCUAGUGACGCUCAAGAGACGAGACGUCAAUAAAGCUCUUCACCUGGGAGAGAUCAAAACAGCCGACCAAAUUCUUUCGAAGCUGUCAGUGGAAGUAGAAGUCCCGGUAGAGACCGCAAGCCUUUCCAGUCAAAUACGGGGAACAUGGGGCAAAGGCCCAAUAGUCAGAGGACAUCUCACACUCCUAUCAGUUGCUACAUUUGUAACGGACUACAUCGGGCAAGGGAAUGCCUACAUAAAGCUGUCUUCUAUGCCUUUCGGGCCUCUUUAGCUGCAGACUCAGAUGACACGUCGAGUCAACCAGAGAAGGAAGUUGGGCAAGUAGAAGGAGUUCAGAAUGUUAGAGUGGGAGCCAUAAGACUCUUGUCGUCCCUUCAGAAGAAACCGAGAGAGACAAGUGGUCGUACUAAAAGGGGCCUAAUAUAUGUUGACACUGGAUCAACCGAAAGCAUGCAAAGGCACUAUGGUUGACUCCAGUGCCACUCAUAAUUUUAUAACAGUGGUCGAAGCCAGACGACUAAACCUUCAUUGGAAGAAAGGUACGGGAAAAAUGAAGGUCGUAAAUUCUAGAGCUCUACCUGUCGUUGGGAUAGUGAAACGGAUAGCGAUACAGUUGGAAGGAUUGAGCGGUUUCGUUGAUUUUGUGGUUGUAGGCAUGGAUGACUUUGACGUAGUCCUCGAAAUGGAAUUCCUUCUCGAACAUCAAGUGAUCAUAAUGCCUGCAGCCAAAUGUCUGAUGAUCACGGGGUCUACCCCCACCGUUGUGCAGACAGACCUUCGGCAACCCAAAGGACUGAGAAUGAUCUCGGCCAUGCAACUGAGAGAGGGUCGUGUUCAGAAAGACACAAGGUGUGUCAUGAAGAGAUGUGGUGAUGGGAAACGUGAUAGUUUGCCCAUAUUGGAAUCGCCUACGAAGAGUGAUUGUCGUAUGGCGCAGUCAGAGUCGUCUAAACUCCGAAGACAGUCAAGGAGAUUGUCGGGUGCAGGAUUCACUAGACCUGCAAAAGCUCCGUAUCAAGCACAAGACUGCUUAUGGAAGGAAGAGAAGGGACGGUUGAGUGUCGACAGCCGUGUCCUGAAGCAAGCCCCGAGGAGAGGGACAAUUCUUGGGUCCGUGAGUGUGACCCAACCUAUUAAAGCUUACGUUGAGGUGCGUAGUCAUGCGUUGAGUGGUGCCUAACUGUAGAAUAGACACCCUAUCGCAUUUGAGGGUCAGAAGAAGAGUGCCACAGAGGGCAAUUAUACGGUGUUUGAAGAAGAAACGUUGGCCAUAGCAACCAGUCUAAAGGAUGGGAGACAAUGUUCCCAUAGAUCAACUUUUGUUAGAGAGAUGAACAACGACGUUGCCAGCCAGUUCGGUACUCGGCGAAUAUGAGUUCGAAUCAAGUAAGGAGACGAAGAGUCGUGCUCAAACUUGAUUUUGGGUCAGAACGUAAGAGAAGCAAUCAUGUGACUCCACAUGUGUCGGCUCGUACACAGGCCUGUCUGUUGGAAUUUUUUGUCCUAAAACUCGUAGUUUGUAAAUCAUAUUCUGUUCAAUAAAGUUGUUUAUUGAGAAAUUAAAUAUUAUAAUCUUAAAUCCAAUAAAUCAAGUUCCAAGGCUAUUUUUGAAUAAACUUGAACUUUAUGUGUAAACAUAAACGUGGAUCAAGUUCGAGUAUAUAGCCUAAAUAGUCUAUAGUAUAUGAAAUAAAGGUUGGGCGCCUUAUUUAGAGAAACUAUGGAUGCGGCCCACUUUGUAGUACAAACGAGGUGAUCCUAAUCGUUCAUGUAGAGACAUGAAAGUGGGGGCAUCCUAUGUAAAAUGUUUACAUAAGACUGAACCAUGAAUUAGUCUUUUUUACGUUAUAACACCGUUUACUGUUUAAAACUGACUAUCUCAAUUAUUGAUGACCUAGGUAACUUAGUCUUAAUCCUGAGUUAACUAUGAACUCCUGUUCACACGAGAUUAUCCUUAGAUCUGCAUAGGUGAGGGCAGCUCAUCAGCGUUGGCCCAAUAAGCCUCCCAUUUCAGAGGUAAGAUCGGGUGGAUAGCUGGGAACAUAGGGUACAAGAUGGAAUUCACUCCUACCCGCUUUAGGGUUAGUAGAUAGGUUGUUCUCUUAAGCUGAAUCCAAGUCUUGAACAAGGGGCCCCACCCUCUCAUUGGCCCGAGAGGGAUUAAGUUUAUAGGAUUGAACCUUAAACCAAUUGUUCAAUAGUGGAUUAGUGGGACUUAAGGAGCAAGAUGUAAUCUUGGGGGUAAAACGGUAUUUUGACCCAGCCAAGGUUACGAGCAACCUGUGAAGGAUUAACUUACUGAUUAUGGUUUUAUCAAAUGGACACAAAUAUAUCUAUAGUGAGGGGAGUGCAACUACGGGACUUUAGUGGAAUGACCCGUUAGUUAACGAAUGUUGAUUAACUCGGUUUAAAAGAGUUUAGCUAGUUAAUCUUGAAUCGUUGGAGCCCAUGAUCUAUAGGUCCAUUAGGUUCCUCUGCUAGCUCAUAUGGAUUAAACUUAGAACAGUGUGAUGAAAUAAGUCGAAUUGUUCGAAUUGGGAGAAGAAAGGGAAACCGACAAAUAUAGUGAUAUAGUCGUCGGUCUUCUAAUUAGAAAUAGAGCUUUAUGUUUUACAUACUAUAAGUAUGAAUGCGGAUUCAUACUAAGAAGCUCGAAUUGAUAGAAUUGGUCAAAAAUAGUAAAAAGUCAAAAUGUUGACUUUUGACUUUGAAAAGUCAAACUUUGACCGGCCUUAUAUUCAAAUGUGAUUUGAAUUUUGGAAAAAUGAAUGCGGAUUCAUGCUCGGAGGUUGGAAUUAGUCAAGACGGACAAAAUGGUAAAAAGUCAAAAUAUUGACUUUUGACUAAGAAAAGUCAAAGUUUGACUUUUGACUAGAAAUAUCUAAUGACCAUUUUACCCUUGGACUAAGUUAGUGGGAAAAUCCAACAUUUUGUUGGAUAAUCCCACUAACUCUUAGUGGGAUAUGUGGCUAUAUGAGAUAUAGACACCUAGCCCACUAAGUUCCACUAAUUGUUAGUGGAACAUUAGGUGUUGAGAUUUGGCAAAUGAAUUGCAUGCAUUUUUUCAUGUAAUUAGGUUAUAAAUAGAGGUGUUUUCAAAUGUUGAAAAAACUUUUGCCUCUUUUAUCAUUUUCAUCAUCUCAACAAAAGAAAAAAGAAAGCUUCCAAUCUCAUUUUAUCUCCAUUACUUUCUACACCAAAAUUGGGUCCCACAACCCGGUUCUUUGUCUAGAGGAUAGCAGUUGAGUACUAGUGGUGGUCUCGGUUAGAAUUGGUAAGAAGAUAUCAAACCUUUUGAAAGCUUCAAAGGUAAUAUUUCUUAAAACCCUAAUUUGAUUAGUUUAUGGUUACAUGUUAAUUGUGGCAAUUAGGGUAGAAAUUCGAUUCUUUUUCCGCUGUGCAUGACUUAGUUCUAUCAUGUGGUAUCAGAGCAUGCUUCAUUUUUACCCAAUUGCAUGUGGUGGGUUCAUAUUUAUUAGAUAAAUUUUGGUUUGAACUAAAAUGGAUAUAUUAUGAUUUUGGCUCUAGAUUAAGUGUUUUUGUUCUAAUUAUUGUAAUUAGCCUUGUUAAUGGCUUAUUUUUAUUGUUGCAAAGUGUUUGUAAUUUUUAAAAAAAAAAAAAAAGUCAUUAGAGUUGAAGUUAGGCUGUAACUGGUUCAACCGGGUGAGAGAAUUGAAAAAAAAUGAAGAAAAGAAGGUCACAGACCCGAAAACCCGCCUUGACCCGCUUCGCGACCCGCACGCGCCGCAUGCCCCGCCUCCUGCGCCGCGCGCGUGCCGCCUGCGUCCCCGCGCCUGCCUUCGCCCGACCCGUGUGCGCCUGGGCCGGUUCAAGCGGUUUCGGUUGGUUUUUCAGCCGGUUCGAAGUUUUUGGGAGUGGUUCUGUACUACACCAAAGUAAUUAUGUAAUAAUUUAGUACUUAGCUUAAUUUAGGAGCCAAAAAUCAGUCCAUUUUAGGGUGUUUUUUUUUAUUUAUGCAUGUGAUGUAUGAUUAAAUUACUUUAAAUUUGUAUGUGCAUUUUGAAUGUCAUAUAGAUUUAAAAUCCCACCAUAGGUUAACAUGUUCAUGCAUUAAAAUGUAUGAUAUAAAGGUUAUAUUGUAUUGUAUGCAUGUUAAUUGAUUAAUAUGGAAAUUAAAAUCCCACCAUAGGUGUUUGCUUUUCAUUCUAGGUCAUAAAGCUUGGGUGUGACGUUUCGGCAUUUUCAUAUGCAAGCCUGCCAGAGCUGAAAAUGUUCAAAAUGUAUUAUAGGGGAGGCAUACCAGUUGAAUCCCCGCUCGAGCAUUAGUUGUACUCUUUGCAAGCAACCCUUUUCGUGGCACGCGUGCGGGGCCUGUGAGCUGUCCUCGAGAGGUGCCUGCCAAUGUCGUGGGCAUAUGUCCUGGUCACCCUUGGGCUGUCUCGGGACCACGUUGGGCUACUCCUGGGCCAUGCUAAAGGAGUCGUGGCACGUAUUGGCGCAAUUUUGCGGGUGAUUUUUGGGGUCAAAGCUUCACAUGUGACAUCAGGCUUACUUCUUUUCAUUUCUUUCUUUUUUCUUCUUCUUUCUUUUUCCCGUUUUAAAUUUUAUCUCUAAACCAAACUCCAACUAACUCUAAUUUAUGUUUAGGAACUUGUAAUUUUGGAGUACAAUAUAAGUAUAAUUGUUUGUGUUAUAUUGUUUUUUUUAUUAUUAUUACUAUUAAAAAUAGCCAAAUUAAUUAAAAUAUUUAUAAGUAUUUUAAAAUUUGAUAUUCGAUAGAUCGAUCAAUGUCACUAAACAUAUAAGGGCUUAUCAAUAUCUAUUAUUAAUAUAAUCUAGUAAAUAUUUUGUCGAAUUUAUUAUUUGUGACAGUUUUUUUCUAUUCUUUUUUACAUAUAUUCAAUAUAUAAAAUAUCAAUUUUUUGAAAAUUUCAUAUAGGAUUAUUAACAAGUUUAACAAAUAGAUAAAAUGAUUUUCAACAUUAUUCUAAUACUAUGCUUUAAAUUAUGUAAGAGAUAAAUCUCUAUAAAUCAUGAUGAAUUAUUUUAGAAUGGAAAACAAUACAAAAAUGUGAGUGUUGAGCAAGAAAUUUUGACCAAUUAAAUUACGUCACAUCAUCACAGUAAAUAAUGAUGAUUAUACUUUUGUUUGAGUUUGGAUAAUUAAGUUACUCAACCCAACCCAAUUCAGAUCCAACAAAACAAAUGGGCUCAAGCCCAAGUCCAAGAAUCAAAUGGGCCCAAGUCCAAACUCAUCUCGCAAAUGGGCUCAAAUCCAAGCCCAACAAGCAAAUGGGCUCAAGUUCAAACCCAGUAAGCAAAUGACCCCAAGUUCACCUAAAGCCCAUGAAAUGUCUAUAAAUAGAGACCACUGUCAUUCAUUUUAAAAGGGGUCUUUGGUUGAAAGAAGAAUUGAAGCUCUAAAGAAUUGAAGCUCUGAAGAAUUGAAGAUUCAAACUUCUACAAGCUCUCAAGACGUGCAAGUUCGUAUCAACUUCGAGAUCAACAACUUCUGAAAGAUUGAAGACUUGGAAGAUUAAACUUUUCUUGGAUUCCAGAAGAUCGAAGUUCAAAUCAACGUGCAACUACAACAUCCUGAAGAUCGAAGAUCAAAAAGUUCUAAGUUUUAACUUGUAUUCGAGAAAAAACAUCAAAAGAGUAAAUACUAGAGAGGUUGUAUUCACAAUAUUCUAAUAUAUAAAGUUCAACUCCACGAAAUACAUUUCUUCAAAAUCUCGUCUUCUUGUGAACAGUUUGACACGUCCAGUGAGACAAUCUCUACCUUUCAUCUCUUUCUCUUUUGAAGAACAUCUAAAGAAAUCAUGUCGAUUGACGAACAAAUGACAUCGGCAAGCAGCCAAAUACUCACAGCCGCUCAAGGGAGACUCAAUCAUCUGAGGAAAUGCCAUCCUUUGAGGCCGCAAAGAACAUUUGGGAGCAACUGUCCAAGCCACCAAAAGGUGGAAUUAUAGUCGAAGAAAAUCCUGUGAUUGACGAACAAAUUUCCUCCUGUGAACGCUCGAAUGAGAAGAUGCCUCAUCCAAAUAUCAUGUCGAUUAUGGUGACUGACGUGGAUACAAGUGAAGACAUAAUGACUGAGCUUAAAAAGAAGAUCAACAUGCUCAUGAAGGUCGUUGAAGAAAAGGAUAAUGAGAUUGCAUCUCUCAAGAAUCACAUCGAACGUCAUGAUGCUGCUGAAUCAAGUCAUUACACAUACUAUCAAAAUACUGACAAAAGGAAGACAAUUAUGCAAGAAAGUCAACCACAAAAUUCAACCUCAAUUGCAUCAAUAUCUAUUCAGCAGUUGCAGGAGAUGAUUGCAAACUCCAUCAAAACUCAAUAUGAUGGACUGCUCAAACUCUCUCUCUAUAUUCCAAACCAUAUACGAAGAGGAUCGACAAUCUCAUAAUGUCGAAUGGAUACCAACCACCCAAGUUCCAACAGUUUGAUGGAAAGGGUAACCCAAGACAACACGUUGCUCACUUCAUUGAAACAUGUGAAACUCCUAGUACGAGAGGAGAUUUGUUGAUAAAGCAGUUCGUUCGAACUCUGAAAGGAAACGCCUUCAAAUGGUACAUCGACCUGGAACAUGAAUCCAUUGAUAGUUGGGAGUAACUUGAGGGACUUUCUCAAUCGCUUUACAGCACCCAGCGUAUCGUCAGCAUGAUGGAGUUGACAAAUAGCAAAUAGCGAAAGAGGGAGCCAGUCAUCAACUACAUAAACCGAUGGAGAGCUCUAAGCCUGGAUUGCAAAGACAAGCUCAUAGAAAUGUCUGUAGUCGAGAUGUGCACCAAGGCAUGCAUUGGGAACUUCUCUAUAUUGCAGGGGAUAAAACCACGCACGUUUGAAGAGUUGGCGACUCGUGCCCAUGAUAUGGAACUAAGUAUCACUCGUAGAGGAGCAAAAGAUUUUUUGGUUCAAAAAAUGAGGAGGAGUGACAAGAAUUAAAUUGAUGACACUAAAAAGAUUACAGAUAGUGUCAUAAAUGAGUCUAUGGUUGUUCAUGCAACCCCUUUGAAAUCUUUCUCUAAAAGAAAAGAAAAACAUUGAAGGAAAGCAUGAUAGAGAGGAAAAGCGACGCCCUUAAAGAAAGACAAGAAAAUUUUUAUCCAUUUCCUGACUCUGAUGUUGCAGACAUGUUAGAGCAGCUGUUAGAGAAGCAACUUAUUCAACUGCCAGAAUGCAAACGACCGAAACAAGCAGAGAAAGUAGAUGAUCCUACUGCAAGUACCAUCGGGUCAAUAGUCAUCCUGUUGGAAAGUGUUUCGUGUUGAAGGAGCUGAUUAUAAAGUUGGCUCGUGAAAAGAAGAUCGAGUUAGAUAUGGAUGAAGUAGCUCAGACAAAUCAUGUUGCAAUUGAGAUGACUUCAAGUGUUCCGCCAUCAACACACCUUUAUGAUUAAUGGAAAAACUUGGUCCAGUUUGGGACUUUUGAACCUGUACAUGUUCGAUUCCAACAAAGGAUCGUGACAAAGAAAUCUCAAAACAAAGAAAAGCCUAUUGAAGAUGAUUGCGAAGGAUGGAUAGUCAUGACUUGUAAAAAGGGGAGACAAUCAAUUUUCGUACAAACGAAGUCGCACUUCCAUCCGAAGCAUGGAAAAGGAAGCAACUCUCGUAAAAAUGAGAAAAGAAAUAAGAUGUGGAAGUCUAAGCCUAUCAAAGGAAAAGAUGAGGACUUCAUCCGACAUCGACGGUUGAUAAUUUUGAAAGAAUCUCCCAAGAAGCUUCCUUGAUGAUCAUCCAAAGAAAGUAUUAGAAGUCCUUGCAUGUCAUGUUGUCAGUAUAACAGAAGUCGACAACAAUUAUGCAUCUUCUGAAGAAAUCGACAAUUUAAAUGAAAUUAAGCAAAGGACUUUUGUCUUUGAUCGUAUCAAGCCUUUCAAUUACUCAAUCUUCAAUUUUUCAAAGAUUGAGUAUGACCAUGAAAGAAGAAGAAAACCAAUGUUUAACAUCUACUUCCACUCAAACUUUAGCUUUCAAAAGGCUAAGUAUCUCCACAUCAAAGAAAUAUCAACCUUCAACAUCUGUUUUUGAUAGACUAAAAUGACAAGUGAUCAACAUGAAAAAGAGAUGAAAACUUUGAAGGUAAAAUCACUUCAUGAAGAAAAUAAUGGUGAGAAGAUACGCAAUUGUGUCUCAUCACGCAUGAAGAGGAAGUUAUUUGUUGACAUAAACACAGAAGGUCCCUUGAUCGUGAAGCCAAAAAUUAUUAUAUUCACCAAUUCUACAAAUGAAGAAGGUGAACAAAUUUUUUACGAAAAUAUUUGUUAAAUGUGUAAAGCUCCUUAUCGCAAGAGCCUAAAUUGCAUGAUGCUCUUAGUCCACAAGAGCUUAAAAGGUGAAUGACAAAAAAAAAAAAAAAAAAAAAAAAAAAAAAAAACAGCAACUCAAUUGAACUACGUUAUGACUUGAUCUCUGUGUUAUAAAAAGGAUACGUAGGCAGCUUAAAGUUUACUUUAAGUUCAGUCGCACGAAAAAAAAAAUUAUGCUUCAACGUGAUGAUGUAAUCUCAAUAGAAAAUGAAAUUCAUGAGCAGUUACAACAGAAAAGAAAUGGGACAAAUGGGGCAAAGUCAAAGUAGCGAGCUCUACCUUUGCUCGCAAGUGUUGCAGCUGAAAAGAUAUUCAUCUUCAUCUUCUCUCAAGUGUUGCAGCUGAAAGGAUCUUUAUCUUCACCUUCUCCAUGUGUUGCAGCCGAGAGGAUUCAUCUUCACCUUCUCCAUGUGUUGCAGUCGGAAGGAUUUAUCUUCAUCUUCUCCAUGUGUUGCAGCCGAGAGGAUUCAUCUUCAUCUUAUCCAUGUGUUGCAGCCGAGAGGAUUCCUCUUCUCCCACGUAUUACAGCCGAGAGGAUUCAUUUUCAUCUUCUCCCACUUAUAGUCAAAAGGAUUCAUCUUCAUCUUCAUCUUCUCCACGUGCUGUAGCCAAAAGGAUUCAUCAUCAUCUUCUUGCACGUGUUGCAGACGAGAAGAUCAUCAUUUUCAUCUCCUAGGUGUUGCAGUCGUUAUCAUCUGCAUCCCCGAUGUGUUGCAACCGUCAUCAUCUACAUCUCUGAUGUGUCACUGCCGACAUCAUCUGCAUCUUCGAUAUGUCGCUGUUGUCACCAUCUGCAUCUUCGACGUGUCGCAGUCGUCAGAAUCUCCAUCUGCAUGUGUUGCAGUCAUUAUCAUCUGCAUAUCUGAUGUGUUGCAACCGUCAUCAUCUGCAUCUUCAAUGUGUUGCAGGCGUCAUCAUUUGUAUCUUCGAUGUGGCUGUCACCAUCAGAAUCUUCGACGUGUCGCAGCCAUUAGAAUAUUCAUCUCCAUGUAUUGCAAUCAUCACCAUCUGCAUCUUUGAUGUGUUGCAGUUGUCAUCAUCUGCAUCUUCGAUGUGGCCGUCAUUAUCUUCGAUGUGUCGCAGCCGUCACCAUCUACAUUUUCGAUGUGUCGCAGCCAUCAGAAUCUCCAUCUCCAUGUGUUACAGUCAUCAUCAUCUGCAUCUCUAAUUGUCGCAGCCAUCAUCAUCUGCAUCUUCGAUGUGGUCGUCAUCAUCUUUGAUGUGCCGCAGUCGUCACCAUCUGCAUCUUCGACGUGUCGCAGUCAUCAAAAUCUCCAUCUCCAUCUUCGAUGUACGAAUCUUCAUCUCCAUCUUCGUCUUCCAUGUGCUCCAGUUGGUCGAAUCUCCAUCUCCAUUUUCGUCUUCGAUGUGUCGCAUUCGAUUGGAUCUCCAUCUUCGAUGUGUUGCAGCCGAUCGGAUCUCCAUCUCCAUCUUCGAUAUGUGGAUCUUCAUCUCCAUCUCGGUCUUUCAUGUGCUGCAGUCGGUCGAAUCUCCAUCUCUAUUUUCGUCUUCGAUGUGUUACAGCCGAUCGGAUCUCCAUCUCCAUUUUUGUCUUCGAUCAAGCUUGGUGUGCUCUACCAUAUAAAUUGACCAAACUUCGUAUAACAUUUUAAUCACACUUAUGUCCAAAUGCAUAGUAUGAUUAAAUUGACAUAUUAACUAGAACCAAAUCCAAGAACAAAUUCACUUAUUUCAGCUUAUCGUUUUCGAGAUUCACCCAUCAUAUAAACGUGCACAAAUCUCUAAAAGGAGACAUUUGUUGAGCAAGAAAUUUUGACCAAUUAAAUUACGCCACAUCAUCACAAUAAAUAUGAUGAUGAUUAUACUUUUGUUUGAGUUUGGAUAAUUAAGUUUACUCAACCCAACUCAAUUCAUAUCCAACAAAAAAAAUGGCUCAAGCCCAAGUCGAAUAAGCAGAUGGCCCAAGUUCAAACUCAACUCACAAAUGGGCUCAAGUCCAAGCCCAACAAUCAAAAUGGGCCCAAGUCCAAGUCUAGCAAGCAAAUGAGCCCAAGUUCACCUAAAGCCCAUGAAAUUUCUCUAUAAAUAGAGACCAUUGCAUUCAUUUUAAAAGGGUCUUUGGUUGAAUAAAGAAUUGAACCUCUGAAGUACUGAAAAAUUGAAGAUUCAAACUUCUACAAGCUCUCAAGACGUCAAAGUUCAUAUCAACCUGGAGAUCAACAACUUCUGAAAGUUGGAAGAUUAAACUUUCCUUGGAUUCCAUAAGAUCGAAGUUCAAAAUCAACUUGCAACUACAAUAUCCUAAAGAUCGAAGAUCAAAAAGUUAUAAGUUUUAACUUGUAUUCGAGAGAAAGCAUCAAAGGAGUAAAUACUAGAGGUUGUAUGCACAAUAUUCAUCAAUAUAUAAAGUUCAAUUCCACGAAAUACAUUUAUUCGAAUCUCGUGUGAACAGUGAGAAUAUGGUUAACCAAGUUUAAAUAUAUAAUGCAACAAUACAAACGUAGUGACCAUAAUCACAAAAUUUAAACCGAACUCAAACAACACAUGAACAUAAAAUAAAAGCAACAUACCAACAUUGUUUACUAUCGAAUAAUAGUCCAAAUCAAAUCAUGGAUUGGUCAAACAUUAUCUUUAGGAGAAUAUUACAAAGAAAAAAAAGUAUGAAAAAGUGCAUUUUAUAAAAUAUUAUUAUAAACUAAAACUAAAAGUAUUUUCUUGAAUAACCUAAAAAACUCAUUUUUGUUUAACAUUUUUUCUAAAAACUUCUUAAAAUAAAAACACAAUCGUGUUUUAAAAUAUAUAUUUUAAAAAUAUUUAUACGUACAAAUCUUUUGUUUGUUAUAUAUACUAAAAAAUAUUUUUAUAAAAAAUCUUCAAGACUAAUCGAUGACAACGAUCGUCGAAGUUGAUUAUCGAAGUUCGUCGAUGAGUCACUAGAGAUGAUGGUGGGAGAUUGGCCGACCAUGAUCAUUGAAGAUUAGCCUAAACCCAAAAGAUAAAUAAUUUUUUUGUAAUAAAAGUAAACUAACAUUUGACUGAACAAUUUUCUCUAUCCUUUUUGACUUCUUUUGGAUUUUUUUUCUUUUUCAAAAUAAGAAUGGUCACUUUGAUUCUCAAUUUUUUCGGAUUAUAAUAAUUUAUACUCAAACACAUAUUAUAAUAACUCGUACUAUAAUAAUUUACACAUAAAACAAAUUAUAAUAACUAAUAUUAUAAUAUUAUGUACCCAAAACACGACUAUAACAACUUAAACUAUAAUACUAUGCACCAAACUUCUCCUAAAAGAAUUUGUUUAUAUGAAUAUGAUGUCUCUCUAAAGAUGAAGAAACAAUUUAUUUAUAGAGAGUGAUAUUGCAAAAAGUUAGUGAAACUUAGGAGUGAGCAUUGACUUUAAAAAAUCAAUUCAAACAAUCGAAAUUAACCAAAUCUAUUUAUUAUUUAAUAUUAAAUAAAACAAACCGCUCAUAGUAAUUGUCUCGUUCCCUAGAUUUGGUCGAUUUCCUAAACCUUAAGUCUAUAUUUUCAUUCUAUAGGUUUUGUUUACAGCACUCGGGUGAAAAAAUGGCGCCCAAGGAAAGAAACCAAUAGCCCUACUAGCGACAGCGACGAGGACGAAACCUUCUAUUACGGUAUCCCUCCGCCCCCUCUUCUGACCCGUCGCUGCCGUCGUCUUCACAGUCGCACUUCUCAUCGCAAUCGCACUCACACUCACACUCUUCACUAAGUCUGGCGGUGGUUCUGGAGGUUUGGUUCCUUCGAAGUCUACUCUCUAUGUUUCCAAUUUCGACUAUUCACUCACUAAUUCCGACCUCCACACUCUCUUCUCCAACUUUGGUAAGAUCGCUCGUGUUACGGUGUUGAAAGAUCGACAGACUCGCAAGUCUCGCGGCGUUGCCUUCGUCCAGUUUAUUUCUCAGGACGACGCGGUGAAGGCCGCGAAACAGAUGCACGGGAAGAUUUUGAAUGGCCGUGUUCUUAAGGCUGCUAUAGCGACUGAUAAUGGUCGUGUCGCUGAGUUUAUAAGGAAGAGGGUUUAUAUGGAUAAGAGUAGGUGCUACGAGUGCGGCGCAAUUGAUGGGCAUUUGUCUUAUGAAUGCCCUAAAAAUCAAUUGGGGCCAAGGGAGCGACCAGAACCGAAGCGGGUAAGAAGGGGUGGAGUUGGUGCUAGGCACGAGGAGGAUUGGGGAUCGGAUGUUGGAGAAGGGUUUGAGGAUGACAAUUGGGCCUCUGUGGUGGACGGAGAUGCAGACCAGAGACUCCUGACUGGCGGUGAGAACAUUGUAGAGAAGAAAAAAGAGAAGAAAGCAAGUUAUUUCAGUGACGAGAGCGACGAAGAUGAUUAACUGAGCCUGUCUCUUUGGAAAGAGUUUGUAAAAGGUGCGUGGUUUUUACUAUUGUAUUGUUUUUAUCUGCCGUGUUGAAAGAGCUACUGUUUCUAAUUUUGGUUCAUUUCUUGUUAUGGGAGAUUGGUUUAAGAUAUGGAAUAAAUGUACUUCAUUUCAGGGUAAUAAUGUUGCAAAGCUUUUUAAUAUUCCUUCACACAACCAUGGUUCCGUGUAUUCAGUCACCUUUAUUUUCUUGUGGCAGGCUACAUUAAGAUAUAUCAAGGUUGGAGACCAAAGUUGAGAGGCUAAAGUCGGUAGUACAAGUUAAAGAUAGGGAGAUUGCAACAGUUACACGAAUAGUACAAUCUCGAGACUUGUCUAAAUUCUAUGAUUUCUCUCUAUUUAACAUUGAACAAGGAAGUUCUUUUCCACAGGAAGCCAAAGGUAAGGCUGCUUUUAAAGCUCAAAUUGACAAGCUACAGUAGGAAAAUGUUGAACUCCAGAGAAGGGUUAUUGGCAAUCAGGUUAUGGUAGUUGGAUGCUGUGAGAUAGAUACUAGUUUCUAUGUAAUAAUUUUAGUACUAAUGUUGUUUUCUGUUUGUGUGCAAAGCAAGUAAGAACUCAACAAAUACAUGAGAUGAAGGAGAAAGAAAAGGAGUACAUCAAAUUGCAGGUGAGAACCUUUUAGUUAUUUUUCGGUUCUAGGCUCAAGUUGGACUCUGUUAGAGGUGUUUAUUAUUUACAGCUGAGAUAGGAGCUUUUGUAUGUCUAAACCAAGUCUUAAGGGAGAAAAAGAAAGAAUUCCUACCAAACCCUUCCACCAAGACCAUAGAAUUCCCUUGAAGAGGCAGAAUACAUAAUCAUCAGUCUAAAGCUUACAGUACUCAAGAGACAAAAGAGUUGAAUUGAAAUGUUCAUCAUGUUUGAAAUGCCAACAAAGUUAAAUGGUAGAUGAGAUGUGUUGAAUUCGUGAUUGACUCAAAGUAAGUUCAUCAACAAUACGUAAUAUUUUCUUCUUCUUGUGUUCUUAUUACAGUUUCUUUUUAAUUUCUCAGUAUUUAUGUGCUUACUAGGGGUGAGUAGAGAUCUUAUACAUCUUAGAUUGGUAUUUCCAAGUGCUGUACUUUCGUACUUUUAAAGUAUUUCAUUUGGAUGUCAUCUACCUCUAAGCCUAAACGCUACAAUGACAAUGGAAGAUAUUAGGCUGUGCAGUAGGUGAUAAAUUUCAGGUUUCUCUUAGGGUGGAAUUAGAAGAGAAUCUAGGUGUUUUGUACACAGAAAAAGAGAGGGAAUAUAAAUGAUGAUUGAUCAUGUAAGCAAAUAAUGUGUUUUUUGUUAAGGAGUCAAAGGGAAUUUAGAUGAAUGGGAAGGACAGGUUGGAAGGAGUGAUUAGAUUUAUGAAAUUUAUGGACCAAGUUACCGUGGGGGGAAUUACGUUGAAUGGUUUGUCCAAUUAAAAAUUUCCAUUACUUUUAUGGUACCCUUAUUGUCACCAUUCGUCUCUUUUUCUAUCACUCGAGAUCCCUUCCUUGCCUUGCCUUUAUCCAAAUUAUUGUCUAUUUCUUGUAGCCAGUGAGUCCAUCUAGCUUUGCUUAAAAAUGUUAAUUACCAAAACUUUAACUACGCCUUAAUAAUGCCUUUUAUUGUUUUGUUUUUGUUUUUUUUUUCUUUUUUGAUUUAACAGUUAAAAUCUAUGUGUUGGUAUAACGUACCACAACGUAUCUAUUCUUAUAUUGCUAUAUCUUAUUUACUUCAAAUCAAUGUCUUACGAGCUAACAUCUUAUUUCAUGAAUAUACGCACUUACAUUCUCACUUAGCGUGGCUCUAUUUUUCAUAUUUCAAACUCACAAGUGAGAAAGAGUGUUGGAUGUUAUGUUAAAUUUACUCUCUUAUCCAUUAGCUUAAGCUUCUAUAUGUAUUGGUGCUUUCUUGAUACACUCAAAUAUUUCUCUUUUAUUACUUGUUUUCUCAACUGAUAUGUAUCAUAAGACCUUUUACAUGUCUUCAUCAACAUGAUACUUAAAAUACAAAGCUCAACCUCUUUUUUGCCACUCCAUGGCAUGAGUAUCCUGGCCCAUUAGUCAUUUUUCUUGAAAACUUAAACCAGGUUAUGGAAGCAUAUUUGAGAGUGUUUUUAGAAACUAGUUAACAAAAUUGAUUUUUACUAAUAAAUGUUUUGUUAAAAGUGAUUUUCAUGGCAUAUUAACGUUCGUUUGUGUCUAUACUUUUAAAAGUGAUUUUGUAACAUAAAAAGUAAUUUCCAAUGACUCGAAAACAUGUUUGGAACUUAACAGAGGUAGGAAAAAUUCAAAUGGAAAAAUAGACAUGGUAUGUUGGCUUGUCUGAUUCUUACUUGUUCUUUAUUUUAUUUUUUUUUGAAAAAUUUGAUGAGAUAUGACAUUAGUUUGUUGUUGAUUGUUCUAUCAUUAUGGUUUUGAUCUUAACCAUCUUUUUCUCUCUCUCUUUGGUCUUUUGUGUUGCUUUUGAUUCUAUAUGUUCUUAAUUUUAAUGUCUUGGGUCUUUGUCGGUGGUGGAGAUUAGAGAUGCUUGUGUUCUGAAGAAGAUAAUGGAAGAAUUUUUUAUUUGUAUUAUGUGAGAUUGUUUUGAGUUUCAUUUUGCAUUUGUUGGAAUGGAAAGAAAAAUUACUCUGUUAUCCAUGCUUAGUUAAGUUUUAGUUAAGUCUACCUUGACAUUUCUCAUAACACGACCCGUCCUUGUCUUCUGAGCUAAGAGGAUCAGGCUUAGUCAAGUCUACCGUCACAUUUCAAUUUAAUGAUCUAUUAUGUUUGAUUUUUCGUGAAUUUGUGUUACUUAAUGAUCUAUUUUGUUUCUCGCUUAUCAAAUAAUUGGAAUUAAGAGGAGAUUUGUUUAACAUUUGAUGAGAAUGGUGAUGCGUUAAAGAUUCGAUUUUAUUGCCAAGUGUCUUCGUGAGAUUAUGUCUUUCGGUAGUGUUGAAAGAGCUGCUGUUUCUAAUUUUGGUUCAUUUCUUGUUAUGGGAGAUUGGUUUAAGAUAUGGAAUAAAUGUAGUUCAUUUCAGGGUAAUAAUGUUGCAAAGCUUUUUAAUAUUCCUUCACACAACCAUGGUUCCGUGUAUUCAGUCACCUUUAUUUUCUUGUGGCAGGCUACAUUAAGAUAUAUCAAGGUUGGAGACCAAAGUUGAGAGGCUAAAGUCGGUAGUACAAGUUAAAGAUAGGGAGAUUGCAACAGUUACACGAAUAGUACAAUCUCGAGACUUGUCUAAAUUCUAUGAUUUCUCUCUAUUUAACAUUGAACAAGGAAGUUCUUUUCCACAGGAAGCCAAAGGUAAGGCUGCUUUUAAAGCUCAAAUUGACAAGCUACAGUAGGAAAAUGUUGAACUCCAGAGAAGGGUUAUUGGCAAUCAGGUUAUGGUAGUUGGAUGCUGUGAGAUAGAUACUAGUUUCUAUGUAAUAAUUUUAGUACUAAUGUUGUUUUCUGUUUGUGUGCAAAGCAAGUAAGAACUCAACAAAUACAUGAGAUGAAGAAGAAAGAAAAGGAGUACAUCAAAUUUGCAGGGUAUAGGAAUACCUACAGGAAAGCUGGAUAUGUAUGUUGCUGCUGCUGGCAUAAACCCUCAAAGAGUAUGUUUUUCUUAGACAAGCUCAACGCCCUCCCUUCAUCCAAUGGUUGUUUAUCCAACUUGAUUUCAAUCAGUUGUGGCUAUUGUUUUAAUUGUUUAUAGGAUUGCCUGCAUUCAGAUUGUUUUAUCUUCUCAUGUUGGGCUACUUCCAAGAAAUUUUUUAAGCGAAGGGUGGAUAAUAGCUCGCUUGUUUAGUCUAAACUUGGGGGAUUUCAAAUUUUGCCCAAAUUUCAAAAUUUUUCAAAAGUUUUUCAUUACAAUAACGAGCAUCAUAACUUCUUAGAUCUUGCAUAAAAGGCAUGACUGUCAACCCUUGAGCACUAAGCUCGGGUUUGUGACGUGAGAUUCUGAAUUUUGAGAAUAAGCUUAUGUCCUUUUUGUUUUUGCUAAGUUUCAACUAAUACACUCGGUAUUUAUCUUUGUGCUUAUGUGAUAGAUUUGUUAUGCACUGUAGUGAUGUGGGGUGUUUCCUUAUUUUCUGCAUCUUAACUACCUUAUUUCCUGCAUUUUAACUACCUUAUUUCCUGCAUCUUAAAUACCUUAUUUUCUGCAUCUUAAAUACCUUAUUUUCUGAAUCUUAGUUGGUACUGAAAUUUGGUUUGUUUCAGUGAAAGAGGCACUAUCAGCAUUGACAUGUACAUGUGAUUUUAGGCAUGAACCAGGAGAGUGAGAGUUUUAGUGUGCCGUGUUUAGAAUUUGCCGAUAUCUUUUUCCCGUUCCAGCAAGUAUUCCUGAUUGUGGGGGUAACUCUCAAGUCUGCAGUCUUUUCUUCAUGAAAUUUGUAGAUUAUCUAAGAAUACUAAUAUCAUUUAAUGUUGACAUUUUUUUAGCAACUUUUCUUAACCCCACUUUUUGAAUUUCAUUAAGUUUACUCUUGUUUAAUUGACAGAUUCUUCCAGUAAUGCUAGAUAUUGGUACUAACAACGAGAAGUUACUUAAUGAUUCUCUUUGUAAGUGAAAGGGAAACCUUCAUGUCGUUUAUCUCCAUAUUUUCCAUGUAAUGUAUUGUGCUUAUAUUGAUCUGUUUCUGUUGUCAAUGGCGAUAUAUUUGGGUUUUUUGUUGUUGUUGUGGUGGUGGUGGUGAAAUAUUUUAUUUAAGUCUCUAGUUAAUAUUUAUGCUUACUUAACAGAAAAUUUGUUGCUUGAGCUUGCUUCAUUUGGUUCUUUUACUUGUUUAAGUCCUCCUCUAACUAAUUAUACAUUUCGUCCUUUUACUUGUUUAAGUCCUCCAAAAAGUAUUCAUUACUUUAAUAAAUUCCCUCACCAGCAUCAUCACCUCUUAUUCAACAAACUGUUUUUUCCCAAAAGCAAAAAAGGAAAAAAAAAAAAGAUAAAGACAAUCAAGAACAACCAUCAACUACAUGAAAAAAAAAAGAGAAGAAAAGAUAGCUACCGAAAAACAUUACUACCCAUUUUCAUUAUCAUCAUCCUCUACUAUGCUUUUCCACCUUCUUCUAACCCAUUUUUCCAUUGCAGGAUUUAUUGGAGUUGAGGAGUCCCACAAUCUUUAUGUUCUGUUUGUUUUUCCAUCACUUUUUCAAGGCUGUUCAAUUGGAGUUCCAUCUUCAGGUAAUAUUAAUGUGUUUGUUUCUAAGAUAAUUUUGUUAAACACUUGUUUUUGUUGUCCCCAUCCACCAGCUGUUUGAUGAAAUGCCGCAUUGAAUAAUUUUGUGGGUUCUUGGGAAGCGUGUGAUCUAUGUGUUGUGGAAUUUGUAUAAUUAGUUAGAGUGAUUUAGGAAAACUUUUGUAUUUGUAGUUGAAUAGAUAAUUCAUUCCAUAUUUAGAGCAUGAUUAAGAGUUAUUUUGAAAUUGUUAAAAUUACUUCAAAAGAUAUUUGGAUAAUUUAAAUGACUUUCUAUUGUAUGUUGAUCACGUUUGAUAGAUCGAAAACUUUUCUUCUUCUUCUUCUUCUUUGUUUCUUCCUGCUGCCUAUUUGACCUGCAACUUUGAGUGUAGUUGCUUGGCUGUCUAAUUGCCACCACUCAAAGUCACUCCUUCGCCUUCUUAUCACUCUUAAUUUUCUUGACAACAAAGUCAAACUGCUACAGAACAAUCGAAUUUUCGUUUGAUUAAUUUUCUAUCCACAGGAGGCUUUUGUAUGUUGAUCACCCUUGUUUUCUUUGAAAAGUUUAAAAUUCCAUACACGAUAUAUUGGGAAACUUUCACAUUCCUCGGGACAUUAAAAGCUCAAGAGCAUUGAUUUUGAGCAAAAUAAAAAUGAAAAUCCCUUUUAAUUUCCAGCAACACCAUAUUUGAAGUUCAUUGUAUUUUCUUCUUCCAACUACAGGUUGACGUGAUUGUCUUGACAGAUGGAAGUCGUAUUCUUGGCCUCGGUGACCUUGGAGUUCAGGGAAUAGGAAUACCUAGAUUGGAGGGAGAAGAGUAUCUAUCUAUUGUUGAUGAAUUUAUGGAAGUCGUGCAUACAUGUUGGCCUAAAGCUAUUGUUCAGGUUUAUUGGUUAAGAUAUCAAAUUUUUAACUGUGUUCACUGCCAGUAAUCAGUAUCGUAAUCUCGCAAUUUGAUUUUGAAUGAUGCCAGUUUGAGGAUUUUCAAAUGAAAUGGGCUUUUGAAACAUUACAACGUUAUCGUAAGAGGUUCUGCAUGUUCAACGAUGACAUACAAGUGAGUAGUUCAUGUUGUAUUCAUGCAGUUGAUAAUUACUUAAAAGGACAUUCAUUUUCGUUUAUUUCAUUUCAUAAAGGGAACUGCUGGUGUUGCUCUCGCUGGACUAUUGGGAAAUGUGAGAGCUCAAGGGCAGCUAUUGAGUGAUUUUGUUAACCAAAAGAUAGUAGUGGUAGGGGCUGGAAGGUAUUGUCAGCUGUUUAACUUUAACAUUUUCUCCAAAUAGCAAUACUGCUAACUAUUUAGGGAUCAUAAGCCUUGUCCUCUUUGUUGAAACAAAAGUGGUUGUUUGAAAGAGGAAUUACUAUUACUAUUACUAUUACUAUUACGUGAAUAUAAGAGAAAUGAAAACUUUGGAAACUAUAGUUCAAUCCUUUUGGUUUAACCUUCAUUUGUUUCAACAUGCUGUUUUUUCUCCUCUUUCAACUUCAGUGUUGGGCUCGGUGUUCUUAACAUGGCUAUUCAGGCUGUUUUGAGAAUGGUAGGGAACAACGAUUCUACUGCAAGAAAUCGAUUUUUUUUCUAAUAGACAAAGAUGUAAGAAUCUUUUUCAAACUUUCAUUUCUCAAUUUAUGCAUCAGUCUGUCCAAGUUUUUCCUUCCAUGAGAGUUACUGAUUUCAGAAACCAAUCGGAUGGGGUUUGGAAUUUGGGUAGCUUUAUUAUGGGUUAAUUUGUAUGACGCAGUUUCGUGUGAAAAGUAUGAGGCAGUUGAAGAAGUUAAAUGACUUGUGGUGGUAGUAAUCAGUGUCAAACUCAUGUGGUUUUUAACUUACAAAGAAAGAGGAAAAAUAUCAACUUAGUCCGAUGCAGAUUAGGGUUUUAAGUCUUCUAUCUAAUUGUUUGUGUGAUAAAUGCAGUUACUUUAUCAAAAACAAAGAAGAAAAGGAAGGGACCACAAGAUUCUUUAGUAUUUUAAUUUUAUUGCAUUACAUUAUAUUCAAUCUUCAUUUUUCUUGGUUGUGCUGCAAAUUUCUAUUAUGGAUUUGCAUUAUACAACAUUGCCAUAUUAAGAUAAAGUUAUGAAAAUUAGAAACACACCCUUUGUAGGAGAGAACAUGAUCCUUCCUUUGAAGUAAAUUGAGAGAAUUUCCUCUACUGCCUCAAUUUUAAGGCUUGAGGUUUGAAGAACAAGGAUGAAUAAUCAACGAAAAAGGAAUGAAGAGGUUUCUCGUUUAGGGAAAAUAGCGAUUUUUCGUUUUUCAUACUUCCAAAACGACACAAGUAUGAACUUAUUGUGUAUUAAAUUGAUCGAGAGGCCUUCCAAUUGUUUGUUAAUCUAUAGUUUCUGUCUCUAUUUUAAUUAACUGCUACAUGUAGAAGCCUAACUAACUUAGUUAGAGUUCUAUCAAAAAAAGGAAAGAAAAAAAGGAAGAAGAAAGAUCAUGUGAUAAAUUUAUAGAAAUGCCAUGCAAUUAUUUUCUAACUAUUAAUUUAUGUUUCUGUGGUAAAUUACUGCUACUAGAAAUCUAAUUGUGUUCGGUUAGUUAGACUUCAUGGGUUUGAUUUUUUUUUUUUUUUUUGUUAAAGAGGUUCCAUAAGUAUACCGAUGGUUUUGAAAUUUUGAUUUGAUGCAUGUCUGAGAAAUUUCAAGGCUAAAUUAUACAGAAUACCCAUAAACUUUGUACUUUAUAUAAAAAUACCAUUGAAAAUACACUCAAAACAUAAACUACCAAAAGUGUUAAAAAUACAGUUAAUAUAAUUAUCCUAAUUUUAGUAAUAAAUGAAAUUGAGAGAACUUUCUUUGAUUUUCAGGAACAAGGAUGAAUAAUCAAUGAAAAAGGAAUGAAGAGGUUUAUCCAUGCAAGCUUCAAACCAAAGCCAAGGAUGUCGAUCCUUCCAGGGGAGUCCAAAGUUCUCCCUUAUUUUUCUCCCUUUAUUUUGAUUUUCAAAAGUUUGCAAUUUUUUAAGUGGGGGUGGGCAAUUGCUUGCAUGUUUAGUCUAAACUUGGAGGUUCAAAUUUUGCCCAAAUUUCAAAAUUUCUAAAAAAAAUUUCCUUACAAUAAUGAGCACUAUACCUUCUUAGAUUACUUAGAUCUUGCAUAAAAAGCAUGACUAGCAACCCUUGAUCACUGAGCUUGGGUUUGUGAUGUAAAAUUCUGAAUGUUGAUGAGUAUAUGUGCUGAAAUUUGAGAAUAAGCUGCCGUGUUUUUUGGUUUAAGCCCAUUUUUAGCGAUAUCUUAUGGAGAUGUGAAUGCAUGAUUGAGAAAAUGGUAUGUGUGUUGUGAAUGCUUGAUUGCAUGCAUAUAAUAAAUAAGUGCAUGGAUACUUUUCUAGCUUUGUCUUCCUUUGUUUCUUUGCCAUGACUUACCUAUGAUGCGCUUAGUCCAAACCUAGCCUAGAUAGAGUUAAAAAAGGAUAGGAGGUACUCUUUAGAAAUUGAGAUGGUUUUAACAAAUUUGUCUUGUCAAACAUGAGUUUGGAGCCUCUUGUCUAGCCACAAUGAACUAAAUCCCUUUAGAAAGGGUGGGCAUUAACAAAUCUUGUUGUCACUUCGAAGGGAGCAGUCAAACUUAGAAACUAAGUGUAGAACCAUAGAAAGGUUACCCCAUCGGUUAUUGUGUGCGUACCAAAGAAAGAAAAGAGAGACUUGCAAAUGUAAAACUUAAGACAGCGAGACAAUUAAGAGCUAAAAAAAACAAAGAACAUAUGCAUUAUACAUCAGAAAAAUCCCAUAAAAAAAUGAAGGGAAACUUCACUUUUGGCCUAACCAAAAGCAGACCACCUACUCUUAGCGUUCUAGACAUAGCAUUGAGUUUGAUGAGGGCUUUGAAAAGAGGAGGAAUCCUCCCCGUUCCACACUAGGGGAAAAACGAGACUUGUCACUCCGAAGGGAGCAGUCAAACUUAGCAUUGAGUUCAAGGUAUCCUUCUUAGAUUCUUGAAUCAUGACUACAUUAGGACUACAAUGAGCACCAUUGUUAUGGAUCAAAAUAAAGUUCCAAAUGUUCAUCCAAUCGUGCCAUCAAAUGUGUCAGAAGGAAAUAUUCAUGUUAGCAUUGGAAAGACGUCAAUAGCAGUGGAAAGAAUUGAAGAAAAAAGUGAAACAAAAGUGAAUGGAGACAGGAAAAUGAAAUUAUCCCAGAAAAGCCAACAAUGUGUAGCAAAUGGUACAAACAAGAGUUGAGAAAAGAUGGGGCGUGAUUUCAUGGUUUCAAAUGGGAAGUCAUCAUGUGUAUUUAAGGGGAAAAUAUUUUGUUUUUCUAGUUCCUUUCCAGAAGAUCGGGUAUGUUGUAAAGAUUCUUUCCUCUUAUUUCAAACAGCAUGAUUAAUGUACACUAUGCACUUUAGGUUUUAGAUGUAUUAUUGUGGUAAAUAGCAUCCAUUUUUUAAAAAAAUAACAAAGUAGAAGCCCUGUAUUCAAUAUCAGUUGACUUGAGUAAAGAGUAGUUCAUUACUGCUCCAACUCCAUGAUUUUAAAAGCAAGUCAAUGGUGCAGAUAGGAUUCUAGAUCUACGUUUCUUUAACACUCCGAUCCUGUUAAGAGAAUGAUAUAAAAAAAAUGGAAAAAUUACCUUUUUAGUCCCCAAUUUUAUAGAAAUAGGUUUAUUGGUCCUUGAGUUUUCAAAAUGUACUCUUUUAAUCCUUGAGUGCUUAAUGUUAUACUGGAGACUCUCAAAACCAAUUUUUAGAAGAAGUUAUUCUACCUUAAAAAUGUAUAAAGUUAUAUUGGGGACUUUCUAAACCAAUUUUUAUAAACUUAGAGACUAAAAAGGUGCAUGACCAAAUGGGUCUAUUUUUCUAAACCUGGAGACUAAAAAUGUACAUUUUUAAAACUCAAGAACCAAACACACGUGUUCUUCAAAACCAAAACUUGGGGAGUAAUUUUCCUAAAAAAUUUAAGAUAGUGCCAAAUGUCAUUUAGCAUGUGAAAUAUUACGAUUUUCAUUUUCAUUUGAGGAAUAUGCCUUCAAAUUUUUUUUUACAUUUUAUUUUUGAACACUAACAAACAUGCAUCAACUUUUGACUUCCAUAAUCCCAAAUAUUUUUUAUGUAUAUUUUGAGAUCAUAUUUGAAAUUCUCCUACUAGAGAGCUGAAAUUGUUGAAUGGAUAAAUCAAGGGGAGGCGAGGUUGUUGAAGAUCACAUGAAGCAGAAAGUGCACUUCACUGUUGAAUGUCAUGGUGGGAUACCAAGGAGUACAGACGUUCAUAGUACUUAUGUGUCAAGUCAUCGGGUUCGAUCAUGUUUAGAGGUAAGCGAUAAUUAAUUGUCUUAUUUGUGAUUUCCGUUUUAGAGCUCUACUAUUGGGUUUUGUUUGUGUUUCCCUUUUUGGACAUAAAAGUCCACACAAGGUUGAAUAGCAUAUUUUGUUUCAUUUAGCCACUGCAAGUUUGGAUUGUGUUUGGGUUGGAGCUUUGAAUUUUGAGGGACUUUAGUUUUGUGUUGAGCCACGCUCUUAUAAUAUGAAGGAUGGAUACUGUUUUUUCCAAAACCAAACGCACAUCAGUUUUCUAAGAUUACAACAACUGUCGUCCCAGUGUAAAAAAAGGUAUCCUCAAACCAACCAAAAGAAGGGGAAUAUGUGAGCAAGAUUUAUAGUUAAUAAAUCAUCAAAAGUAAAUUAGAGUUGGACUCGAGAACUCUUGCUGAUGUAUAGGAAAAGCAGACAAGGUAUGGGAAUAUAAAUUAAAACAGCCUUUAGAUGAAAAGGGCUGCUACAACUGAUCCUACCUCAAAUGGCGGUACCGAAAAUAUAGGACUUGAACCUCAGUCUUCUCCCUCGCCCGUUGUUCUUGGCAAUGUUAAAGUAUCUCAAUUCGUACACAUUCAUCUCCUUGUUUGAAGCAAUAACUCAAAGCCAAUCUCUAAUGUUGUGUUUCUUGAAAUUCUUCUUAGCCAAGUAUUUAAGAUUCCUCUUGGAGAAGUAGCUAUUGGAGUUGAUGUUGAUCUUGUUCUUGUCCUGAGUGAUAGUGACUGAGUCAUCAAGUGUCUCUGCCACCCCAGCUUUGUUGGUCUGAUGAGGUGAUGGCCAUGAUCUUGUCCUCAACUGGCAUCACACAAUCAAAUGGUCACAUCCUUAUUUUUUCCCUUUGGGCCACCAGAUGCGGCUGGUCGAUGACUCAUUCUGCUUCUGCUCUACUACUUGUUUCCCUAACUCUGCAUCUGUAUAGAACAAUUGGCAUAAAUGGUGGAUACUAUUAAAUUGGAAAAUGGAGAUUCAAUCAGUUCUAUCAUUUUGACCUUUUGAUGUUUAGGGGAAGGUGGUAACAUAAAUUUACCUUCUCAGACUAUCCAUUAAGGUUGGUCUGAAAAGAAAAGGGUGGUCUAUCUUGGAAAACAUAUUUGGUUGUUCUCUUUUUUCUUCACUCUGUCUACAUUUUGGAAAUAUGAGUGCUAUCAUUGUGUGAGAGGUUUCUUUAUUGACAAAAUUAAUUGGAGUUCAACAUUUGAAGAAGUCUUUCUAUGACUGUCCCUUGAACUCCAAAGGUUUGCACUCCAUCCCUGUGCCAAACAAAUAGAUGCUUCUUAUAUAUUUUUCUCUGGAAUUGAGAAAGUAUUGAUGCACACUUCUGUUAAAUGCGUUAAAUUACGGCUUUGAAGCCAAUUUUGAAUGGAUAGCUGGCGUAGAAACUGCCAUUAUUGAUGAAAUUUGAUACUACUGAUGAUUUUUAAUUUUAAUUUUAUAUUAUUAUUAAUUUCGUAGCCUAAUUAUGUUUAACUGAUAUUUGAAAUGAGAAUUGAAUAUUUAUCUUGUUUUUAUUUGUUUACUGACUAUUUCAAAUAAACUCGUUAUGAAGGAUGGAUGUUUGUGGGAUACCAAUGGGCACAUUUUCUAUUCUCCUCUUCCUUGCUGUGUCCCUUUGCCUGGAUUUGAAAACAUACGGUUUUGUGUUUCACAAUAUGAUGACAAAGACAGAGUAUUGUUAAGAAAUCUGUGUUUUGUACUUGGGGCCAAGUUUGUGGAGAAGCUGACAAAGAAGGUAACCCAUCUAAUAUGCAAGUUCACCGAUGGGACAAAGUAUGAGGCUGCUUGUAAAUGGGGGAAACAAUGCAUUACAGCUGAAUGGAUAUAUGAGUGUGUCAGCCAGGUACCUUUGCGAUUUUGUUGCUUUUCAAUUAUAUAUGUUCACGUACAUGCAUAUCCUGAUAGAAUUCUAGACCCAUUGUGUUGAUAUUUCUUCUCUUAGAUAUGGAAUGAUUUUGUUUGAAUACAAAACUUUCAGAGAAAGAUUGUCUCUCUUGAUUUGUAUCGCCCAAAAGAAGUUAAAGCUCAAGACAGAGCGACAGGCUUAUGCACUGUCAGCCAAUUUCCUACUCAAGCUGCCCCAAUGAUAGCCAAUGAAAGCAUAUCCCAGUUUCCUAUCCAUUCUGCCAUUCCGAGAGACCAAUCAGCUGGAACUAACAGUAGCUUUAUAGGAGCAGCUGAACGAAUAAGUUCUACGAAGAAAAGCGCAAGUUCUUUGACGAAGCCAUAGAAAAGCAUUCACUUUUGUUGGAAACAGAUCCACUCAAUCUGACUGCAUUUUGAAUUCCACAAAACAAACUACAUCAAAUUCUUCUGUAGUAACUUCACACGUUCCUGAUGUCGCUUCCGCAAUUGAGGACUUGUUGGAGCAGACAACUAAGGUAAAAUCUGGUUUGAGCUACAAUUCCAUUACUUCAUUCCAUUUUUAUUUUAUUUUUUCCUUCAAAUCCUUUUGUUUUCCUUUCUUUUUAAGAUUCAAGAUCAGAAGUCACCUGGAAAGACUGGCUGCGAUAAAAGUAUAUCCUUCUAUUAGGAUUGAUGUUUUUUAUGUUUAAACUUUUGGUUUCGUUUGCAUUUGGUUUAAUCCUUAAUGGUACCAGAUUUUCCUACCAGACUGUUCGCUUGUUGGUCAAGACCAUUCAGAAACUUCUCCAAUUGGUGCUUUAUCUAACCAGUGGUCAAAAAGGUAAUUUUUGCCGUUGUCUCCUUGAUCUUCUUAUGGAAAGACCAUGCUGAAUUGAAGUGUUUAACAAGAACGGUCGCUGCCUGGAAAUAUAGUGAGACCAUUCAACGAAGUCGUUAUGAAAGAGUUUAUUUUCACUAUAAGAGAAAUAUUUUUUUUAUAUUCUUUUAGUCUCUACUGAUGAAUUGCUUCCUAGAACAAUAUAAUUUAUAAUUUCUUUCAAAAUAGGUUCGUUUGAGUAAUAGUGUUAAUUAUAAAACUCAAAUCACACCGUUUGCAAUGCUUGAAAACCAGUAUUCACAAAUAAAUGCUAUCCUUGAGCAUUAACUUUUUUCAUGGGACAUUUGCAAAAAUGGUAAAACAAGUUAUAACUUUAUUAUUUGUGAAAAUGAUCAAAUAAAGUCCAGCCCACCCAUAUAAAAGUCUGGAUUUGAUUAUUUUUGCUAUAUUUUCAAAAUCACAAACCUUAAAGACAUUUUUGCAAAAUACCUAAACUAAUUUGCCACCCAAUAUAGUUUUCCUUUUUCAUUUUAGAAAAACCAGGUUUGGAAAUAAAGGCAGUAGGUUAUUUCUUUAAAAACUAGCCAUUAAAUAUCCCUGUAUUCUAAGUGGAUCUUAGCAUAAUGCAAGCUUUAGUGUUUUUUCGAGAAAGACUAUUAUGUUCGAACACAAUUCAAUUUUGCCUUUGUAACUUGGUUUUUGAGACCUUUGUGUCUUGUAUUUUCUCAGAGCUGAAAGAAAAGAAGAUGUCGGCAAUUCUACUACUGAAGAUGGGACUGUGGGCAUAUGUGAUGGCUUUAGUGAAACACAAACAGAGUCUCAGGUGUGUGCUAUGCAAUCCAGAAGGGGGAAUGCAACUAUACCCAAUUCAUAAUUGUAUUUGGAACACUAAUAAUUUUAGCACAAAUUCCAUCUUUCCAUUCUCUAAGACAUAUAAACCUUAUCCCUCUCACUCUAUACCUUGGCUAUAGUGCUCUUGCAACAUAUUAAAAUUCUCGUAAUUAAAAAUUCAUACACAAUUUAAAUUAAAUUAAACAUCAAGACCCCUAAUGAAUAUGAAUCUCUGUUCAUUUUUCUUUUUAUUAAUAAACAAAAGUUUUUAGGUCCACUUCUUUCAACAACCUCCUCAGGGAUCCUUAAUUAUCUCUUUCCAUGUUCAUAACUACUCUAGUCAUGCAAAGAUUAGGGUUCAUGGCCAAUCAACAAUUAAUCUGUGAUCAAGAUAUUAUAAACGUUAUUCACAUAAAAACAUGAAAAGAUUAAGAGCAAAUAAUGAGAUGCAUUACAAAGAGUAAUUCAUAAACUUUGUCUUCAUCUAUCCCUAGGAUUAAGAGUUUAGCUACCCCAUACUUCACAAUCUAAAACACAAAACUCAAUACAAAACCCAUAACAAAAAUUAAAGGAGAAGAAAAAGAAAAAGAAGAAGAAAAGCUAGUGAUUCGUAUUAUUAUCAGACUGUGUAUAACAGUAUGUGUUUUUUAAUAUUCUUUGUUUCCAGCUCCAGUGUACCAAAAUAUUAUCACAAACUCCACAAUCCUUCUCUUUCCAAUCCCUAAACUAAAAGAUAAUAGAUUUAAACAAUAAAUCAAGUUAUUCGAGGUACUUGGAUCCUCCCUUCUUGAGAUCACAAUCUCAAGCCCUAAAACCCAAAUAUUGCUUCUCUUCUCCAUUCCCCUAUCCCUCUAUUUAUAACCAAAUAUAACCCACUCCCUAACUAUUUAUGCCCUCAAUACCCAAAUAACCCCUAAUACCGAUCCUAUUCGUCUCAAGGUGGUUUCAAAAUGUAGACCAUUUUGGAGGGGGUGACUGCAUUUUUACCAUCUUUAUUUAAUUUCAUCUAUGUAGAAUGCCAUAACUCACAGGUUGAUGACGGUGAAUGGGAUGUAUCCACAAGUAACUGCUCUAUGCAUUGGAAAUGCUAAAUACUUUGGCGGUGGUAUGAAAAUUGUGCCAAAUGCCGAUCCUUCCAACAGGAGUCUAGAGGUAUAAUUCGUUUCUGUGGGAUUUUAUUUGAUCACUUUUUCCUUCCUUGUCUUCUUAACUAUGUGAUGCUUUUCUUUGCAGGUAGUAAUUCUUCAGGAUUUCAAGUGGUAUGACUUUAUUCUGAAUUUACACAAAAUAUACAAUGGGACAUAUUUGACGGUGAAAAACGUAACAUCAAGAAGGUUAGUCAUCUCUUUAAAAAUUAUAAUGUGCCUAGAUUUUCCAUUUUGUAUUUCAAUUUUCUCUCUCCAACGGUCUGUUUUAUGUUGGAGACUUGUGGAAGCAGAGGUGAAGUAUAAUUGAACUGGAUUUGCAUGGAGCAUUGUGAUUUUCAUUUCUGUCAAGUUUUUGCUUGAGAAAAACUUACACUCAAACUUAUAUGGAGAUGCUUUAUUUACCUAGCAGAGAAGCCCUAAGAAAAGUAAUAUUGUUAAGUGUCUUCGUGAGAUUAUGUCUUUCGGUAGUGUUGAAAGAGCUGCUGUUUCUAAUUUUGGUUCAUUUCUUGUUAUGGGAGAUUGGUUUAAGAUAUGGAAUAAAUGUAGUUCAUUUCAGGGUAAUAAUGUUGCAAAGCUUUUUAAUAUUCCUUCACACAACCAUGGUUCCCUUUAUUC
rnacentral:lncRNA from 1 species